rnacentral:lncRNA from 1 species
AAAAACUGAGUUGAAGUUUGGCCGAAAUUCAAAUAAUUUUCAAAACCAGUUUUGGCUAGCGUUCUACCAAAGUUCUCCCAAGUUUAUCUCCAAAUCCAGCGAGUUUUUCCGAUGUUGGCUUUUACAAAAGUUGUAUCCUAUACUUUGAACUCCAACUUUUACUUUUGGAAAUUCAAAUGCCAAGUUCAACAAUUUGGAGAAAACUAGCGUUGAAGUCAGCCUCUUUGCGCGCCACACACGCACGCGACGCACCCUAGGCGCGGUCACCGCGUUCAUGGCGUGCUCGCCGGCGCCACGCGGCGCAAGAUGCCUGCCACCGCGCUGUGCUAAGCCAAUUGCCGGCGGCGAGGUGACAGCACAGUGCAUGCAGCCGCAGUGCCCAAGCCCCCCGUGAGCUAUCUCCCUUCCCCGCACGCCAAAUCCUCCCCGGCCAAUCUGCUGCCGCGACACACCCCGGCGCACCGGCGCACGCCAAACCUUCCGGCCACUCCCGCAUGCCUGGCCACCGCCCCCCCUAGGUAAUGCGCUAAGAGCCUCGCCUGGAUGACUCACCCCUCCCCUCCCCUUUGCCUGCUAUAAAAAGGGCCCCUGCCCAUUCCUCGCCGACCGCCCGCACACCCGCCGCUCCGCCAUUGCCAACGCUGACGAGCCCCUACUCCCGACCAUCCCCGUCGCCACCCAAGCACCUCAGAACCUUCCCCUACCACCUCACCACCUUCCCAGCCCCACAAACCACCACCACCACCGCCACCCUCACCGGAGCUCGAACCGAAGCGGUUGCGCCACCACUGCUCUGCCGCAAGCCGUCACCGGCCCUCCUCUGACCCCAAGCCCUACACAAAACCGGUCACCGGUGAGUCCCUCGUCACCCUAAUGCCCUUAGCCCAUGACCUAGCAGCCCCACAUCGCCGGAAUCGUGCUACCCAAGCCAUUGGCCGGCCUAGGGACCCAAUUGCAAUUGAAGUUUUGGUUUCAAGGUCCUUAGUGCAAAAUGCAGGGGCUAGUUCGUAAACAAAAGGGUGUAUCUGUUGAGACAACUUGUUUCAGAGGGUUUUCUUGCAAAACAUGUUUUCUUUUUCGGAUUUAAUUUUAGAUAAAAUGGCUGAAACUUUGGUAAUCCAUACAAAAUCAUAGAAACAGGAAAAAAUACGAAAUAAAUUUUUUUAGUUUGUUGAUACUCAUAUCUCACUAAUAUGUGAAAUAUGUGUUUUUGUUGCUUAAUAAAAUGCAUGUUGUUUAAUCUCCUUAUUUUGGAAUAAAUAGUUUUGUACUUAUACAAUCCUGAUAAAUUCACAGUAGUAUCUCAUAGUGUUGAAAACCAUUCUGUAAAAUUUGUAGAGCUAAACUGAUGAUAGAACCCUAGUUAUAAAACUGUAGUUAUAAAUCAUUCUUCAAAUCUGCAGUAUAACCCUGUUUGAUUUUUAAUAAAUUCUGUAAUUGUCAAAUCCAUCUCAAAUUUUUAGAGUAGAUUUCUUGCGUAAGGGCAAAGCUCCUGUAAAUCAUUCAUGUUCAAAUACUAGCAGAUGCUUCCUGAACAUUUAUUCAUGUUAAAAGCUAGUUUAUUUAGUAAAGAUAAUUGUUACUAGGAUUUGUAGGCUCACAAAUGAUUAUUUAUGCUCUUCAUUAGUAGCAUGAUCAUCCCUAAAAAGUUUGCUAAACAAUACCAAAAUAGCACCAUCUGUUGCCGCUUGAAUACUAAAUUUCUAAGAAUUUUAUAUCUGUACACAAUCACCAUCAAAAUAAAAUAUAUGUUUUCUUUCUAAUGAAGCUUGUUUUGUGAAGAAAAGAAAUGCUUAUAAACUUGUCUAGGCGAAUGUGGCCAAAGGAAAAGAAAUGUUUAUAAACUUGUCUAGGUGAAUGUGGCCAGAAGAAAAUACACCCCAUGCUUUUAUGGUUAACGAAAGAAAAACCUACGUCAUGAAAGAUCAUAAAAGAAAUCUUAUGCAUAUGCAUCUCGUGUAGAAGCUAACCUCACCAACGGAACGUGCGAGCUCAUCCCGAAAUGCAAAGAAGGACACCCUCGUGCUGAGUUGAAUGUGAUCGAGGCAAACAAAGGCCCGAACCAAACUUCGGAAGAGCCCAAGGCUGAUUUAGGGCAGGAAGGCAAGCCCCGGAGCAUAAUCCUAGUUUCCAAAUUUGUGCAAUAUUCUUGUUGCUUAUUGUUGACGCAAAAAUCGGGCAGUGACUUCCAUGUGCUAACACACGAAACCCGAGAGAAUCUGCUUCGCUCUUGCACGGGUUGUAAAUUAGCGCGCGUGGUGAACGCGGACGUACCAGUUAAUCUGACUUGCUAAUUGACAAGGAAUCGUGAUGGCUAGGCAGCCGAUACGAAUAGAUAUGAUCAGCUAGAUCAGCCGAUGUAUGCGUAAUCAAUGCAAAGGAAAUGCUGAGAAUGUAACCUGAACAGUGCUAUGCGAACAACACUUGAAACAGAUCCGAUCAGCUGUACGAUAAUCUCUUGACAGAAGAACAUGAUAAAAAGCCAAUAGAAACUACUUCAAGCUGGAUAAUGGUGAUAAAAGCUAAAACGACAAGAUGAACUUGCAGAUCUAGCAGAUAUCGAUAAUUUGGUGAAUAAAUCUAGACGAAACCACAAUGAUGCGCCCGGAAGUUAAAGCCUAGAAAUUACUCGGUAGAUGUGGAACUCACAAUCCAGUCGGAGAUCAAGUUGAUGCAGCCCCACUAGCUUGGAAGAACUUGUUGAAGAAAAAUAUAACUUUGGCGAAGUCGCCGACUUGAAAGUAAAUUCCGAGUAAAGUAUAUUUGUCUUGAUGUGUGUACAUGUCCUUUCUACACCUCGCAGAGCCUCUAUUUAUAUCCUAAAAUCCCAAACUCUUAGUCCUAGUUGAUUACGUUGAAAUACAAGAUUUAUCUCAAAGAAACAAACUAUUUAAAUAAAAUGACUCGUGCAAGAGUUGGACACGAGUUUAACCUUUAUUAACUAACUCUAUACUUACUAUCUAGAAAGAUCUUCAGCCGAAUCUCCGAAAUCCCCGAUCGGAUAGAAUCUCCUUUCUUGUAUUGGCCAAGCCCUUCUAUCUCCAUCGACUGGGUCUUCAUCGGCUGGGUCUCCAUCGCCUUCCAUCGGCUGAAUCCCUCUGUCCUCAUCGGCCGAUCCCUUGUGACGUCAUCGGCUGGACCACUAUGACUCCAUCGGCUAGGCUACCGUGACUCUGUCGGUUGGACUGUUGUGACUCCAUGGGUCGAUUCCACCAGCCAUUGUUCCUUCGCCCUGUACCAGCACCUUCGCUACCUUUUGACGCCAAUUUCGACAUGUGUCAAAAAAUGGUGUCAACACAUGCCCCCCAAUUUCAAAAUGAAAUAUAUAUUUUGUUUCAAAAUUGUCUUGGCCUCAUUGUCAGGUAACACUUGCUUUGCCUCCGAUAUUUCACUAUGAUUGGCUGGAGCCAUGAACUCCCUCAGCAGGAUGAAGACCAUGUUGACAUCUGCAGCCGAUUUAUAAUUCACCCUUAUCAUCGGAUUUCUCUUUGACGCACCAUACUUGGGAUUUGACCCUUCUCCUCUCCAGGACACGCCCUUCUUCUUCUUGUUGUUGUUCCCAUUGUCGCAAGCGCUGGACCCUCCUCUUCUAGGAUUUGAUCAAAACUUCAGGGACCACCUGGAGUACUUCGCAUCAUCAUCGUACUGAGGUGCACACUAUCGUUCCGCCUUGCGAUACAUCGGUUCUUCAUCAAAAACUCUUUCACCACCACUUUUCUCCAACCGAUCAUGUGCAUCAACUCUGUCCUUCAGCCGAUUAUGCACGUUGACUCUGCCCCCAGCCGAUCAAGCACUAGAGCACAUUUGUCACCAUAAUUAGAUUUAUCUCUGACAAUUGGCUUCCGAUUCUUGUCAUCAAGACGUGUCCUCUUGAACGAUCGGCUAUCUGGAUGCAACCUAUUGCACUCAAGACAGUUAUCAGCCGAUGGUAAUCUGAUACCUUCCUCCCAGCAGUACAUGAAGAACGGGCACCUCUAAUGAUCUUCAUGGCGCUGCAUCAUCGCUUCCUUGUGCCUCAUUUUCUCUUUCUACCUUUGGAACUUGUUGAGCAAAUCUUGAGAAGUAAUCGGCCAGUUUCUCCUUCUUCUAAUUGGCCCUUCCCCUUGAUGUCAUCAGCCGAUACCUAAACUUUAGGAUCCACGGAUUCCCUCUUCUUGGCCGAUUCUGAUGUCAACACUUUAGCACGGAGUGCAUCCUUACCAUCACCUUCGACCAUAUUGGUUGGGAAAGAACGCCGGGCAAUCCUCACCGGCUUUGCUAACUUUGUAGGGAUUUUAAACAUAAGUCUCCUUUGUUCAAUAGCCGAUUGGAUUUGCUGGCGGAAGACCUAGCACUCGUUUGUAUCAUGAGACGUUGCAUUGUGCCAUUUGCAAUACUUGAUCUUCUUGAGUUCCUCAACCGAUGGGACAAUAUGACAGGGUGAAAGCUUGAUUUGCCCUUCUUGCAACCAUACAUCAAAGAUUUGAUCAGUCUUGGAAGUAUCGAACCCAAACUUUUCAGGCUCUUCCUUGUCAACUGGACAUGAAAUCGGCACCUUGUUUUUGACCCAUUCAAUCGAGACGGUUUCCACUUCUUCAACUGAAUCAGAGCAUUCUGUAUGCACAAUCCUUUCCUGGAAAUCACUUGUUUGCUCAUAUGGACGCACUUCUUGGUGUGACACCCGAUGUACAAGUUGACAUAAACUUUCGAACUCCUGCGAUGCGUAUUUAUAUUUGAGCUGCAGCAAAAGUCCUUGAAAGGCUGUUUCAGCUAGCUGGCUAUCACUCAAGACCAAACUGCAGCAUUUGUUUUUGGUCUCUCUGAAUCUUUGUAUAAAGCCAACCACUGACUCAUCACUUCCUUGCCUCAAACUAGUCAGAUCUGUGAGCUUCAUCUCGAGAACUUCAGCAAAGAAGUAUUUAUGAAACCCCUCCUCUAGAUCGGCCUAGGAAAUAAUGGAAUUAGCCGGAAGUGACGUGAACCACGCAAAAGCUGAUCCACACAAAGACAAUGGGAAUAACCAAACCUUCAAUGCAUCAUGCGUAGCUACUUCCCCACAUUGAAUGAUGAAUCGGUUGACAUGCUCCACCGUAGAAGUAUCAUCUCGUCCAAAAAACUUGGUGAAGCCAGGUAUUUUAUACCGAUUGGGAAAAGGAAGCAGAUCAUAGGCUGGUGGAUAUGGUGUCAUGUACUCGUAGCUCUGCUCCUUAGGUUCUAAUCCGAACUAAUUUCGCAUCAUCUCGGUUAUUUUCGCAGCCCAAUCUUCUUGUUGAUGUGCAACCCGCGGCUGUUGUGGACUGGCUGGCUGAAUUAUCUACUGAAAACCCAAUGCUUGUUGUUGUAGUCAUGGCACAAUUAUCGGCUGAGCAGCCGAGGCUUGUUGCUGCAGUUGUGGCUGAAUUAUCGGAUGAGAAGCUGAUGUUUGCUGUUGAGGCUAUAGUUGAACUAUCGGCUGAUAAGCCGAUGCUUGCCACUAAGGCUGCGGUUGAACUAUCGGCUGAUAGGCUGAUGCCUGCUGCUGGAGCUAAACUAUCGAAUGACAGGCCGAUACCCACUACUGAGCUUGAACCAUCGGCUGAUAGGCUAAUACCCACUGCUGAGGUUGAGUUAUCGGUUCAUAGGCCAAGGUAUGCUGUUGAGAUUGAACUAUCGGCUGAUAGGCCGAUACCUGCUGCUGAUGAAGGUUAAUGUGUUGCACCAUGUUUGACCGUUCACCAUAUACAACCCUAGCACUAAUCCACCCUGAUGAGGAAUCAAAGUGUUGGCUCCCCCAUUGAUCUCUGAAGCAGCUUAAAGUUGAUACUGAGUCAUUAUAUGAGGAGUCAAUCUCUGUGGUACUUGUACCAUAGAUGUGUAUGAUCCUAGAGGCAUCCCAAACCUAGUGAUCGGGUUCCAUCUGACUGGCAUCCCUAUUGCCCCCCAUGGCACCGAUGCUGGCAACAGUGAUGGCAUGGAGUAUGCUGGAGCAGGUUGAUUUGCCGUCUGAGAAAGUGAGGAUGGCGCAACGUUGGUGAUCUGAAGCAGUGCAGCACCGUAACCCCCACUUGACAUCUGGAUCAGCUGAGAAGCCGAUUGACCGAAAACAGGCGCAGUCACCAUGGUUCUGACCGGUACGCUCCUAGGUGGCUCGUAUGCUGGGCCGUGAAACCCCUGAGAGCUUCCACCAUAGACAGUGCUGAGGAUAGCGUUGUGCACGGUGUUGGUCAUUACUGCAGCUUGGUUAAUCAGCGCGUGAUUGAGAGCCUGAUCGAUCAUCUCCUGCAUCCUCCCUGGAUUUUCAGCAAUGGUGAUCUGGUGAGGAGUUGGAAGGGCGUGCUUCUUGAUAGGUUCCCUUUUCCUAGUAUGGCUAAAGGACCUCAGGCACAGCAAUCUGAACUCUUCCACAGCCUUUGCCACUUCGCCCUUCUGAUCGUCCUGGAGCUCAUCCUUAGUAACCUCAUUGAUGUUGUCAUCCAAAACUUCGGCAGUCUUCGGCGCAGACAUGUUGAGGCUUUGUAUGGUCCCACUGGGCGUGCUAAAAGUGUGUUGACGCAAAAAUCGGGCGGUGAUUUCCACGUGCUAACACAUGAAACCCGGGAGAAUCAACUUCGCUCUUGUACGGGUUGUAAAUCAGCGCGCGUGGUGAACGCGGGCGUGCCAGUCAAUCUGACCUGCUAAUUGAUAAGGAAUCAUGAUGGCUUGGCAGUCGAUACGAAUAGAUAUGAUCGGCUAGAUCAGCCGAUGUAUGCGUAAUCAAUGCAGAGGAAACACUGACAACAUAACCUGAACAGUGCUAUGCGAACAACACUUGAAACAGAUCUGAUCAGUUAUACGAUAAUCUCUUGACAGAAGAACAGGAUAAAAAGCGGAUAGAAACUACUUCAAGCUGGAUAAUGGUGAUAAAAGCUAAAAUGACAAUAUGAACUUGCAGAUCUAGCAGAUAUCGAUAACUUGGUGAAUAAAUCUAGACAAAACCACAGCGAUGCACCCAAAAGCCUAGAAAUUACUCGGUAGACACGGAACUCACAAUCCAGCCGGAGAUCAAGUUGAUGCAGCCCCGCUAGCUUGGAAGAACUCGUUGAAGAAAAAGAUAACUUUGGCGAAGUCACCGACUUGAAAGUAAAUUGUGAGUAAAGUAGAUUUGUAUUGCUGUGUGUACAUGUCCUUUCUAAACCUCGUAGGGCCUCGAUUUAUAUCCUAAAAUCCCAAACUCCUAGUCCUGGUCGAUUACGAUGAAAUACAGGAUUUAUCUCUAAGAAACAAACUAUUUAAAUAAAACAACUUGUGCAAGAGUCGGACACGAGUUUAACGUUUAUUUAUUAACUCUAUACUUAGAAAGACCUUCAGCCGAAUCUCCGAAAUCCCUGAUCGAAUAGAAUCUCCUUUCUUGUAUUGGCCAGGCCCUUCUGUCUCCAUCGGCUGGGUCUUCAUCGGCUGGGUCUCCAUCGCCUUCCAUCGGCUGAAUCCCUCUAUUCUCAUCAGUCGAUCCCUUGUGACUUCAUCGGCUGGACCACUGUGACUCCAUCGGCUGGGUUAUCGUGAUUCCGUCAGCUAGACUGUUGUGACUCCAUCGGUUGAUUCCACCAGCCGUUGUUCCUUUGCCUUGUACUAGCACCUUCGCUACCUUUUGACGCUAAUUUCGACAUGUGUCAAAAAAAAGUGUCAACACUUAUGUGGGUGCAUUAAGUCCAUAGGAGUUAUAUUGAAACCCUAGUUGCAUGAUCCUAGUACCCAUGUUUUGAAUACUAGCAUGUGAAGUCGCUUAGUUGCUAUGCUAAAUUGGGGUACGGUAAAAGUCAACUGAUUUCCUAUCACUCGCGAGCUAUAGGAGUUGCCUGCUUACUUAUGUUGGAAUCAUAAGGUCGACGGGUGGGGCUUUGUACAAUGUUCCUGAAUUUGUUGAUGCCCCGUCUGUAUAGAGAAAAUUGCUAAGAUCGAAACAUGUCGGUGUUCGUGGUCAAGUUUUUGAACGUACUAAACACAUGCUGAGAAUAUGGUAAUCGUAAGCCUAGUACCUGAUUGAACCAGGGCGUGCACCUUUUCCCCACUCUCUCUGGAAACGGUUUCCCUUAAUGCAUCAUGUGGGUACAAGUGCGGCCACAGCACAAUGUCGUUCCGGGGAGCGGUGGGGCCUUGUAUCCAAAGGAAGUGGACCUACUUUAGAAGCUUUUGGCAAAAAUAACCCCUCAGCCAGAAAGCCUUGGAUGUCUAGAAGUUGGUGGAUUAGAUACCACCUGCUGGGUAAGCCUUACGGAGUAUUAGUAUACUCAACCUUGCUUGUGGCUUUGUUUUUAGGUAAUGAAAUUGAUGAAAUGGUUGCUAGUUUAACUUGGCCGUACCAGCUCCCUUCGGGAUGGACGGUUGAGUGGGACACGUCCUUAGUGGGCAAGAACCGUGGUGAGUGAUGUCAUGGACGGCUUCACCAUGAUAUCAUGUAUCAUCGUUAGAUUAUUGUUUCUUUCCGCUGCACUUGAACUCCGAACCACUUUAUGAAUUUCAAUUGGGUUUGCAAUAAAUAAGUAUGGACCUCUGUGAUGUUUGUAUCUAGAUUGUUGUAAUCUCUAGGCUCAUCUUCGUACAAGUAUUUGUAUGCUUGUUUCAAUCUCAAAUAUGUGGUUGUAUCAGAUGAAACAUGACAGACUGUCAUCUUGAUCUGAUUUAAGUGUCUGAUCGCAUUUAAGGUGAUGUUUAGUACACUUAAGCCAGAUUAAUUUGGGUGGUUCUGCCACAACUGCUUCAGAGCGAAAAGCAUUCACCAGAGAAAGCAACAAGCCUUAAAAACUUAUUUCGAUAAAACUUGCCCAAAAAAAUCACGUUUGAAAAGUGUGUUAGUUCAUUAAGGAUGAAAUGUAGUCCGUGAAGCCCUAGGGGAUUAUGGGUUGAUCAGGUGGCUAACUAACUUAUGGUUAUAUGAUUCUGACUUCCAGCACAUUACUUUCAGUCAAAACGUACUUUCUUGCACAAUGGUUGGCGUAGGGGUAUGACGAUUGCUGUAACGUACCCACAGCACUAUAUGAAAAUAUGGUGGCGGUACAUAAAAUAGAUGGUUGGCGCAGGGGUACGGUGAUUGUUGUAACAUACCCAUGGCAUCAUAUGAAAGUAUGAUGGUGGCACAUGAAAAGUGAAUACACUAUUUCAGCGUAUGAACGUUGUCCGUAUAGCGAAAAUCGUGCGGAUGUUAUUUCUAUAGUGAACGGUAAUGAAUGGGGACGCUUUCAUGAGUGCUAGCACAAAAGGUUCAAUUUAUACUCUAGAUGAUUUUCUGCAGGUACACUAACCACGAUUACAUUAAGUUAAAGAAUGGUUAGAAAUUUGGUUAGAUAUUAUAGGGUGAGCCAUAAUUUAUGCCAUGCCACCGGCACUAACCCCGUAAGUCCUAGCUAUUGGCAAUUCUUUGAAUUUUGUGAGGACGUUUAGGACGUGCACACAUCAUGUUAAAAACCUACAAAUUGGUUAUGGGUAGCACAUCAACCUAAUGCAACUCUCACAAAAACUAUUGCCAAUCACCUAAGGAUUUUCUAGCUAUCAACAAACUGUAACCAUCAACUAUUAGAAUUUUUUGGGCUACAGAUAAUCUUUACUCUAGAAAUGUUCUAUACAAAAGUUGUUCCAAAUUUAGCAUGAGUUAUGCUUUAAAAAUCUCAUAAAAUUUGGCAAAUUAGAACUCAAGUUAUACCCGAAUUGGUAACCCGCUGUUAACUGAGGAUGAAUUUUUUGACUACCUUGGGAUCAGUUUUGGUCAAGUGUCAUAAAAUAAAAGUUGUGUAUAACAUAGUAGAGAAUAUUUUGGUAAAAUCAAGAUUUUUGGAUGAGUAGAUUAUGAGUUAUGGUCAGUUUAGUGGUGCUUAGUUACUGAAAAAAUUCAGAUUUGACAGUGGUAGAAUGACAACAGAUUUCUGAGCUUCUUGUCAUUUUGGAUAAGUGGUUUUCCUAACUCACACACUCCCUCAUUUUUGUUUUCAUCCAGAUGGCUGACCCUGUUUAUGUCAUGAUGGACAUGGACGGGCAUGUUCACUCCGAGUGCCUACACUGGGAGGACUUUCCUUCCAUUUUGUGGGGCGUUCUGAGAUCGGUGGGCUACACUACCCCUCGCCGCUACGUGGGACAAGAGUUCGAGUAGCACAGAGUGCCUCGUUGUCGUGUGCACCUCACACUUCUCCCCCACCCGGCACACCCCGAGUGGCCUACUUUGGAGGUAGAGACUUUUGGGUACCGCCUCGAUGACACGUGGGAGGCGACUGCUCUGCAGGCGCUCACUACCUUCUGUAGUCAGCACCCGGAGGAGAUUGUUGUCACCCCCAUGGGUCUGUUCCCGGUAGCACAGGAGGACGACCCCAUGUGGCUUGAUAGAGUAGACCACAUGGAUCUUCUGGGGUACAUUUGUCCUUAGGAGACAAUCCUUACUUCCGCGCGGUGCAUGAAUGCAAUGUACCAUCUUCAGGCUCUCCAGAGCAAGAUGAUGGCUCAGUUGUCUGAUUUGGCACAGGCAAAUCAAAUGAUGGUUGAUGAUAGGAGCAGCCAGAUUGUUGAACUCUCAAUUGAGCUAGUUGAUAAGGACAUGAGGAUCGACCAGUUGGAGGUUCAGGUGGAAGAGCUCAAGAUGGAGCUGAGUGAUAGAGUGGCUACUGUUGACCACUUGGAAGAUCAGAUUCACGACCUAAACAUGGAGUUAGAGGAUGCAAACGAUCACAUCGAGAUGCACCACAAGCAGGAGGCAGCUCUGCAGGCCCUUCCGGCCGACAUGGAGGAGGAUGAGGAGGACCUAGAGGAGAUAGAGGGUAUCUCCAGUAUGGACCCAGAGAGCGAAGUGCCACAGCCACACCUAGGGGAGCCCACUCCCCGAUGCUCAGUGUGUCUUCCGUCAACAACUUGGAUGACUUCUAGAUGCUUAGGAUACCUUUUGUGUAUACUCCUCAGUGUAGCCUAAAUUCUAGACCAUGGAAGUAGUAGGCCAACUUAGAGUUCAGUAUUCUUUUGCAUAGCAGAUGCUACAAUUAUGACACCUUGAUGAUGGGGGCAGGUCCCAAAAACUUGGCACUUGAUGUAAUCGACGUGUGACUGCUGACUUUCUGCAGCAGAAACAUAUUUAAAUUUUUAACCUAGUUUCGUUCAUCUCUGGGCCAUUUGAUGAAUACCAAAGUUGUUGGGAAUUUCAUAACCUAAAAGCUCGCAAAAUUUCAGUACCAUUGGAUUUCCCUAACUCAAGUCAUGAGUAAAACAUUGCAGCUCAGCCUGCUGAAAAACAGCCAGAACAGAGAGGCAAAGAUGAAAUUUUUCGGCCUAUAUAACCCUUGAAUUGGUCUCUGAGUUGAAUACUAAAGUUGUAUCAUACUAAAUUUCCUACUCACUGACCAAAGAUGAGAACUUAUGGGUGCUUGGGUCAGGAGAUAUGAAUUUUCUCCUAGUUACAGUUUUCUGCCCACAUUAUUUAACUGCAUCUUGAACUUUAACAUUCCGCACAUAUUCUACCUUGUUUCAUCUUUUUGCGAGCAAGUUUGAGAAUUAUGUGACUAAUGGAUAGGUUCACCACUGCAGAUGGUGAAUGGGACACGUCAAAACCCCGGUGGUUUUGGAGGUAGUGGUAGCGGGCAACAGCCACCACCACCCCCGCCUUCCAUGGAGGCAAUUUUGGCUGCCCAAACCGAGUUGUUGCGACAACUUGUCCAAGGACAGCAGAAAAAUCAGCAGCACUAGGGGGGGGGGGGCGAAACAUCCAUCUGCCCCAGGUUGCAAGCUACUAGGAUUACCUAGGCACUCAGCCCCCUUUGUUUGUCAAAACAGAGGAGCCUUUAGACGCGGAUGUUUGGGUUCGUACCAUUGAAUCCAAGUUAUCUCUACUCGCGAUAGUUUGUCCUGAUGAGAACAAGGCGAAGUUUUUGCUGCAUAGCAACUUUAAGGCUCGGCUUGUUUAUGGUGGGAUCAUUACCUUGCCAUACUGUGGCGGAUCCACCUUGGAUUAGCCUGAUUAAGGUACGGUUAAGUCGCCUAAUAUGCAACACUCAUGCCUUAGUCAAGUUAACACGAAGUGCCGUCGGAUUUCAUCUGAUUUGACCACUUAACAGGACCAAAUUAGCAAACUCACAAGAAGGUGAGCGGUUCCAGAGAAUACAGCAGGUCCACCAAAGAUUAACAAGUUGAUACACACUUGGUUGCAAAUCAGAGUUUAACAAGUUCGGAAAGAAAACAACAGAAGGUAAAACGAGCGGAAACUACUUCGCCGGGGUCGGACAUCCUUGGUGAGGCCAGCCAAGACAUCAAUGAUCCCCUUCCUCGCCGUCCGAGGAGGGAUCCCACUUGACCGUCCAACCCGGAGGGAGCUGGGGCAGCCAAGUGCCAACAGGAACAAGCUCGGGAGUGGCGACUUCACCUGAAAAUAAGCCACAAACAAGGCUGAGCUGCUAAGCUCAACAAGACUUAACCGACCGGUGGUAAACAACUUCACCACAACUAGACAUGCAAGGCUCUCUGGCCGAGGGGCUGGUUUGCCAAAAGCGCUACAGUGGGUCCUUGCUUUCAAGUUUUAGCUCAAGUUCUAAGUUCAUUAACCGGUCUAUGUUGGCAACUUACUCUAAACAACCACAGUUUUUCAACAACAAAGUAUAGAACAAGCAUCAGGUUCAUAGCAUCAUCAUGUUCCAUCUUUUUACUCAGUGUAGCAUAGCGAUCAAGCAAUCUCAAACUGUGAGAGGCAGACGAAUCGAUUCGAGUUUCUUAACCAUGCAUGGCGAACCUAAUCUCACGACAUCCGCGCACCACAAAGGUCGCUUCCUGUGUCGGUCGUCCCCAUCAAUUCCCAGGCGCGUGUCAGGUCCAAACUUCCCUUGGCAUGCAAUGCUCCACAGUCCCGGUCUCUACCGUACUGUGACCGCACUUGCACCCACAUGAUGCAGCUUGGGAACCUUGUUCCAGGGACAGCAGGGGUAUAAGCCACGCCCUAGUUCAAUCAGGUACUAGGCUUCCCCAUCCCAUACUAGGUAUGAGAUUAGUACCUUCAAACACUUGAUCACGAACACCAACACUUUCCGACCUUAGCAACUUCAAAUAGAUAGACAGGGCAAUCCACCGACCACCAAAAGGAUUCAACAUGCCCUGCCCCGUCCAUUGUCCUUAUAGUUGUAACCAGAAGAAGAACAACCAACUCCUAUAACUCGCGAGUGACAGGAAAUCACUCGACUUUUACCGAGUCCUAUUAAGCAAUACCACUACUUGGACUCAUCGGCUAGUGUUCAGAUCAAGGGAAACCAAGUCAUGCAUCUAUAGUUUCAUACAACUCCUGCACUUAAAUGCACAUACAACAAGGAAGGCAUGUGUAAGUUUAGAGAAAACAGGUUCAUGCUCCGGGGCUUGCCUUCAAGCGGAGGGGAGGGAAACUGGUCCUCAAAGGGCUCUGCUACAGCUCCUGCGGUCGGCGGCUCAGCUACUGCUCCGUCUUCUUGCACCGGGUGCAAUUCGUAGACGCCGUCGGCGAGAUUCAACUCUACACGAAUGCAAAUGCAAGAGUUAGCACUUAGACGGUUAUUUUAACAGCAACACUUGCAAGCUUUUAGCCCAGAAACUGGUAGCAAAAGCUACGGAAAAAGUGUGAAGGUUCAAGCUUCAGUGGAUAGAGAACAAGACCAGGGGUCGGACAAAUAGAGGGGUCGGACGAGACGGAAAAGGGGUCGGAGGAACAGAGGGGUCGGACGAGAUGGAAAAAGGGUCGGGCGAACAGAGGGGUCGGACGAGACCAAAAAGGGGUCGGAUGAACAGAGGGGUCGGACGAGACGGAAAAGGGGUCGGACGAACAGAGGGGUCAGACGAGAUGGAAAAGGGGUCGAACGAACAGAGGGGUCGGCAGCUUACCUUCGGUUUAUAGGUGAAGCUUUGGGAUCGGGAAGGAGCGGACUUGGGUAGCGGCGAAGUCCAGCGGUACUCCGGCAGCGGCGGUGCUUCUUGCGGACAGCAAGCAAGCUCCAGCACAGCGCGGAGGAGCAAGCGGCUGGGUGGAUUGGGGAAGGCGGUGUUGAGCGAAGAGGAGAGUUCCUCAGGAACUUAAGCUGUAGCGCUUUGAGCACGAAACAGAGAGCAAGGAAGAAGGGCAGCGAUGGCGAAGGGGAACUCCGGCGGGGCUCUGGCAUUCCCUUUUAUAGCCGCGCGGAAGAGAGAAGGUUGGAGCGGCGCGAAGACCGGGAAGAAACGAUGGAGUGCGCUGCCGGGGUGGCGAUUGAGCAACGAGGGUGGUGGAGCAGGACUUCGGGGAUGACACCAGCGGUCAUUGGGCACCAGCGACAGGGCGGCGCAGGCGCGGUUCUGCCGGUGGUUGAGAUUUGGCGGAGAUGGGCGUUGUCGUGCGGUGGAUCUGAUGGAAGUGACCGGGGAAACAGCGCUAGAAGCAAGGUUGGUCAGGUGAGAAGACAGGCGGCUGCGGCUGCACGGGCGAGCACGAAGCAACAGACUGUCGGGGCGCUGUUCUGACAAGGCGGGAAAGGGACUGUCGCGGCCGGGGUUUGGAUUGGCGAUGGAGGAAUCGUCGCGUAGCGCAGUUCGGGCGGCGCGACUGUGAAGGGGUGGCGGAAAAGGUGGGAGGCAUCGGGCUCCGCAGCCGGGGGUCCGGCGGGGAGAUGAUGGGCGCGGGCAGCGAGGCGCUGCAGAAAGGGUUGCAGAGGGCUUCCGCUGCGAUUGGGGAAGGGGGCGCGGAUAUCCAUCCGGUCGCGGCCGGCGACGGGGCGGAGCGGCGGGGGUCGGAAGAGUUGAGCCACGCGGCGGGGAAACUCUGAAGCGGGCAUGCUACUCGAGUGCGUCUGCCGGUAGAGAUCUGUGGAAAAGAUUUUUGUGGGUCCACCGGUCAGUCUCGGUUGGUCCACUGCUCAGAUUGAAGGGAGGCGUUGUGGGAAGACUUAGAAGGAUCCGCUGGGAUGAGUUGGGGUCGGCGGGGUCGGGACUGGGGGAAAACGGAGAGGGGUCGGAUCUCAGGGGUCAAAACCAGGGCUGGAGGUGGAGUACUUAAACUCGGGAAAGCUGAGAUGGGGAUUAGGGAAUCGGAUUAAGAUUAACUCAUGAGAUUUGGGUCGGUCGUCACAGCCUACCCCCCUUAAAAAGAAUCUCGUCCCGAGAUUCGGAUGUAGAAGUAACCGGUGGGGGUGUGCAGUCCUUACCUCCUUGGUUGGGGAGGAAACCUGGGAAAAGCUUGUUCAAGUACUCUUCUGUCUCCCACGUAGCUUCAUCCUCUGUGUGGUUUCUCCAGAGGAUCUUGUACAUUUUAACCACUUGGCGUCGGGUGCACCUCUCCUUCUGGUCAAGAACCUUGGCCGGGUACUCGGCAUAGGUUAGGUCGGGCUCGAUCUGAAGCUGCUCCUACUCUAAGAUCUCGGUUGGGACUUGAACACAUUUCUUCAGUUGAGACACAUGGAAAACAUCAUGUAUGGCCGAGAGCUGUUCUGGGAGUUGGAUCCGAUAGGCAACUGGUCCACAAAUUUCCACAAUUUCAUAUGGGCCAAUGUAACGGGGAGCCAAUUUUCCUUUUACUCCAAACCGUUGCACCCCUUUGGUCGGGGAGACCCGAAGAUACACAUGAUCACCAAUGUCAAACUGCAGGGGUCUUCUUCUCCUAUCUGAGUAACUUUUCUGUCUAGAUUGGGCAGCCUUGAGGUUUGCCUGAAUUACCUUCACUUGCUCUUCGGCUUCUACCACUAAGUCAGGACCAUAGGUUUGUCUUUCUCCAGCUUGGGACCAAUUCAAUGGUGUCCGGCAUCUCCGACCAUACAAUGCUUCAAACGGUGCCAUCUUCAAGCUAGCUUGGUAGCUAUUGUUAUAUGAGAACUCUGCCAAUGGCAGGCACUUGUCCCAAUUCUUGUCGUAAUGGAUGACACAAGCUCUCAACAUGUCCUCAAGGAUCUGAUUAACUCUUUCGGUCUGACCAUCGGUUUGAGGAUGAUAGGUUGAGCUACGGAUGAGCUUGGUGCCCAUUGAUGCUUGUACCUGUUCCCAAAAUUGUGCCACAAACUGAACUCCUCGAUCAAAGAUGAUCGUCCUAGGCACACCGUGCAGGGAAACGAUGCGGUCCAGAUACAACUCCACAUACUUCUUGGCCGUGUAGGUGGUGUGGAUAGGAACGAAGUGGGCAGACUUGGUCAGAUGGUCCACAAUUACCCAAAUGGAAUCAUGUCGCUGCGAUGAAAGGGGCAGUCCAACAAUGAAGUCCAUGAUGAUGUCUUCCCAUUUCCAGGAGGAAAUAGGUAGGGGCUGCAGGGUACCCGCUACCUUUAAAUGGCUAGCUUUGACAUGUUGACAGGUGUCACACUCCGAAACAUACCGUGCAAUCUCGGGCUUCAUUCCACUCCACCAGAAGAUUUGACGGAGAUCAUUGUACAUCUUGUUGCUGCCAGGAUGGAUUGAGAACUUGGAGAGAUGAGGUUCAUCUAGGAUUUGCUUCCUAAGGUUGGGGUCGGAUGGUACAACAAGUCGGUCUCUAUAAUACACUUUCCCACUCUCAUCCUGUCAGAAAUGCUUAUACCCUUCAUCCUUCCAUGAAAUCUUCCUUUUUAUUCGCCUUACUUCCUCAUCCUCCAAUUGUGAUGACCCAAUUCGGUCCUCCAAAGCAGACUCAAGUGAUAUGUGGCCGAGGGCUCCAUGGGAAACAAUUUCCAAACUGAGUUUUCCCAUCUUGUGACACAGUGUCGCGGUGAAGGUUGUUGCCGACAAAUAGUUGCAAAAGGUCUUGUGGCUAAGAGCAUCGGCCACCACAUUGGCCUUGCCGGGGUGAUAGUGCACUUCCAAAUCAUAGUCCUUUAUCAACUCCAACCAUCUUCUUUGGCGCAUGUUGAGGUCGGCUUGGGUGAAGAUGUACUUGAGGCUCUUGUGGUCGGUGUAGAUGUUGCAGUGAGUGCCCAUCAGAUAGUGUCUCCAUAUUUUUAAGGCAUGAAUCACUGCUGCCAACUCAAGAUCAUGGGUCGGGUAGUUCAGCUCGUGAGGUCAUAACGCCCGUGAGGCAUAGGCAAUGACUCGGUGGUCUUGCAUAAGAACACACCCAAAUCCAGUGCCAGAGGCGUCACAGUACACGUCAAACGGCCUAGAAGGGUCGGGUUGAGCCAAAACUGGGGCUGAGGUCAGCAAGUGCUUUAGGGUCUUGAAGGCUUCUUCACACUUGUUGUUCCAUACAAAUUUGACCUCUUAGCUAUCUUGGAGAAAUCCGGUAUGAAACGCCGAUAGUAGAGUGCCAAUCCAAGAAAACUUCGAAUCUGAUGAACUGAAGUGGGAGGCUUCCGGUCCAUGACUUCUUGUACCUUGCUGGGGUCAACUGCUAUGCCAUCUCAAGAGAUAGUGUGUCCCAAAAAUUUGACACUAUCUAACCAAAAUUCACACUUGGAGAACUUGGCAUAAAGCUGAUGAUCUCUCAACCGUUGAAGAACCACAUGAAGAUGAUCGGCAUGUUCUUCUUCGUUCUUCGAGUACACUAGAAUAUCAUCAAUGAACACCACCACAAACUUGUCCAACUCGGACAUGAACACCGAGUUCAUGAGGUACAUGAAAUAGGUGGGUGCAUUGGUGAGCCCAAAAGACAUGACCAGGUACUCGUAGAGUCCAUAUCUGGUAGAGAAGGCAGUCUUGGGAAUGUCACAGGGUCGGAUCAUGAUUUGAUGAUAACCGGACCGAAGAUCGAUCUUGGAGAACACUCUUGCUCCAGCUAAUUGAUCAAACAGAUCAUCAAUGCGGGGAAGGGGGUACUUGUUCUUGACAGUCACCGCAUUAAGGGGUCGGUAGUCCACACACAUGCGUAGACUCUCAUCCUUCUUCUUCACGAAAAGGGCUGGGCAACCCCAAGGUGAAGUGCUGGGUCGGAUAAAGCCUUUCUCCAACAGCUCCUCCAACUGGGUUUUUAACUCGGCCAGCUCAGCGGGUGGCAUCUGGUAAGGUCUUUUGGAGAUAGGGGCGGUGCCGGGGAUCAACUCUAUGGAAAACUCCACCUCUCUAUCGGGCGGCAUGCCCGGCAAGUCAUCAGAAACACGUCGGGGUACUCACAGACUACAGGGAUGUCCUUCGGUUGGGUCUCAAUUGCGGGAUACGCACAAGAAUUCACAUUUUCUUGGCGAGGCAAUUGGAUAACAGAGGGGCCUUGGUGGGGGGGGAGUUGACCUGGAUAGCUCGGGCUAGAACAUCUAGCAGAACCUAGUGUCUGGUCAUCCAAUCCAUCCCUAGAAUGACAUCAAUCCCUUCUAGCUCAAGGAUAACAAGAUUCUCCUUAAAAUGGUUUUGGCCUAGCUGGAUAGGCACAUUGACACUCAUCCUAUCGGAUGUGAUUAUUCCACCCGGGGUGGAUAUCCUAAAAGACCCUCUUGUUUGGCAUUCCUGUAACCCACACUUGUCACGGGUCUUUCUUCCGAUAAAACUAUGUGAGGCUUCUGAGUCAAACAAAACCAAAGCUGAAAAACUGUGAAUCAGAAAAGUACCUAUCAUUAUCGGCACACUUUCAGGAAGCUCUGCUGCGUGGGUGAAGUUCAGCCGACCUUGGCGAACUUGCAUCUUGGGCCUCUUCCCUUUGUUGAGCAUUGCAUUGCUCUGCCCUGGGCGCUAGCUCUGAUUUCUGGGGCAGUCCUUGGCAAAAUGCCCCACAUCACCGCAGGUGAAGCAGCGGUUACCAUUUGCAGAGUGCGGUCGCGGCGGUGGGGUCAGCCGUGGAGCAUGAGGUUGAAAGCCCGGAUAACGAAGUGCUGCUGCUGGUGGGGGUCGGGCAACCCAUCUUCCCGACUGCUAGGGUCGGCUAGGCGCCUGGGAUGGAACCAUCCUGAAACGCUGUGCAGGUGGGCUGGGCGUUGGCAGUGGAGCUUUCCUCUUCCUCUCGGAUGCCAGAGCCUUCAUGCAGUCCUCUUGUGAGAUGGCCAAGUUGACCAACUCAUUUUACGUAUCCACCCUUAUCGGGUUUAACCUUUCUCUGAGCUCCAAGCUUAGCCCUCUGCGGAAUCUAUCCCGCUUCUUCUCAUCUGUGUCCGUAUGAUAGCCGGCAUAACGGCACAGGUCAUUGAAGGCUUGGGCGUAGUGCAGGACAUCUCGGUUUCCCUAGGUAUGGGCCAAGAACUCGUUGAGCUUACGCUCCAGGAGACCUUUCGGAAUGUGAUGCCCUUUGAACGCGGUCUUGAACUCGUUCCAGCUGACAGCAUGGUCGGCCGGCAACAUAGCAUGGUAGUGAUCCCACCACAGCCGAGCGGAACCACGCAAAUGUUGAGCCGCAAACUGGGCUUUGUUAUGGUCGGGGCACGGGGCGGUGAGGAGUUCGAACUUGGAUUCGAUCGUACGAACCCAGGUGUCGACGUCGAGCGGGUCUUGUGUCUUCUGGAACAAGGGAGGCUGCGUGCUUAGGAAGUCCUCAUAACGAGCAACUUGGGGUGGUUGAUGGGCUCUCCCUCCAUGGGGCUGCUGUUGUUGUUGUUGUUGCCCUUGUAUGAUAUGCCUCAGCAGCUCGGUUUCAGCCGCUAAGAUCGCCUCCAACGAAGACGAGGGCGGGGGCGGGGGAAGAUCCUGCUUCUGCUCACUGCUGCUGGGCACGGAGCCAGAUCUGGUGCGAUGCGCCAUCUGCAAGAGUCAACGUCCCAUUAAUUCCAUAACCUCAGAAGUACUCCAAUUGUGUGUGAACGCAUGUGUUAAAUCCGCAAAUGCAACUCUUGCCGAUAAGGUGACACAACCACAACUCUUAUUAAGGAGACACACACUUCCUUUUGCCAUCUUAGUUAGCAACUAUCUUAGCUCUGCACAUGACUUCGGGCGAACCAUAACCCUAUCUUAGGAGUUCCACUAUAUCCGACCUUAGGCCAAGGGGUCGGGCUACACGAAACAGCAUGAGAAGGGGUCGGGCGAGGCGGAGAACUGCCUCGAGGGGUCGAGCGCGUCCGACCUCAUGACCCGGGGUCGGCCAAACUUGGACAGACCCACAGAAAAAUAGGUAUGUGGUCACAGCACCACUCACACCAUCUGGCAUCCCAAACGUGUUGCAAAGGAGUCAAAGGUCAAGCUUAGGAUUUGAUUUCACUGAGAUCUUUACAUGGUUGUUCCUAAAACACAAGGAAUACUCAACUCAAGGCUAACCUAUUAUAGGAUUAUCCAAAAUUUAGGCUGCCGAGGAGUACAACAAAAGAAUUGGUUCCCCACAACUCUUCAUCUACGAGGGAACACUGUGAGUUGGAGAAGGGGCGUCGUCCUCCUCAAUGUCCAUGCUGGACGCUCCCUCGACCUCCUCAGGGUCUUGUUGCUCUUCCAACUGCAUCUGAAGGGCAUGCAUGUUGUCGAGCUCGACGUGAUGCUCGUCCAGAUGGGCAUUAGCCACUGCCAGCUCCAUCUCUACUUCCAUCUUCUCUUCUGACAGCUCGAUCAUGCCAUCCACUAGGUCGGUUACUUCUCCCUCGAGUUCGGAGAUUCGGUCUUGUAUGUCGUGGAUUUGGAUGCUGUUGGCGCUAGAAAUCGGUCAACCGAAUCUCCAGCGUCUGACACACGACCCGGGAGAAUCUGCUUAACUCCUGUUCGGGUGAUUGCCUUGGUGCGGUUCACGCGGCGUGCCAGCCAAUCUGACCUAUUGAUUGGCAAGGAAGAAUACGUGUCAGAUCCAGAAGUCGCGAUCGGCUAAAUUUCCGAUCUCGAGAAAGCUUAUCAGCGAAUCGGCCGAUUUGCCGUAAUAAAGAAAUCGGCUAUGAAGCAGCCGAUUACCAGGCAGCGUGGAUGAGAACUAUUGGAGUAAUCAGUACAACGCUACAGUAGCAACACUAGGAACAGAUCUAAUCGGCUAUGCGUAGAAUAAGUAAAUUAAACAGCAAAACAUGAGAAAAGCCGAAACUGCCGAUCCCUAGCUGGAUAACUGGUGAUAAAACUAGAAAAAUAGGUAAAACCUAUGAUUCUAGUAAAUAUCGAUAACUAGUGAAUAAAUCUAAAUGAAACGACAGCGAUGCGCCCGAAGUUAAAGCUUAGAAUUUAGUCGGUAAACGGAACUUACAAGAUCGGCCGGAGGUCAAGUUGAUGCAGCCCCGCCAACCCGUACGAACUCGUGAAAAAGAAGAAAGUAUUUGGCGAAGUCGCCUGCUUGAAAGUAAGUACGAGGAAAUAGUAGUUUGUUGUAUUUAGUUGUUGAUGAUUACAGAUCUACAAAGGUGGCUAUUUAUAGCCCCGUACAGACGACUCCUUAUCUGACUAGAACUCUAUCCCUAAUUCAAAUAGAAAACGAAUAUUUACAAGUACGAUUUGUACUAGGUAGAUUAUUAUGCGCUUAAUGGGCUGAUUCCCUUUUCAUCCUUAUAAUCCUUUCUAAGCCCAUACCGGCCCAACUAUUCCAACCUCCUAAUCAGCCGAUUUCCUUAUCGGAAAAGGGUAACCGAUCGGGAACCAAGCGCGUCCGAUCUCAAACCCCAAGCUUUAAGUAAGGCGGAAUUCUAAAGAUCUAUCGACCGAUCCUGGACUGUAGCAUCGGCCGAUCCUGGACUGUAGCACCAACCAACCGAUCUUUAACUGUAGCGCCACUCGGCCGAUUUCCAACUGUCACCCCUGCAUCCUGCUGUAUCUUCCCACUUCUUCUUCUCCUGACGCCGAUUUUACUCGUGUCGAAAUCUGGCGUCAACACAUGCCCCCCAGUUUUGGAGUAAAACAUAGUCUUUACUUUGAAAUUCUUUUCAACUUCCCCUCUGAAACAACCGCAAUGAAAAUAUCCUUCCGUUUCGCGGUCUUCAAUCUGAUGAUUGCAAUCUUUUCGAAACGGGCGCCCACGACAACCACUACUCCCGACAAACUCGAAACGCCGGCGCGGUAAAAAUUCCAUUUUUACCCUUCCUCAGACCCCCUUUAAAUAUCAGUACAUCCCGCACUUCCCUUUCGAGCUCACGUCCUCUUUCCUCAGCGCGCGAGCCUUCUUCUUCCUCCAGCGCUUUCCCUUAGUUCCACAGCUUUCCGGCACCAUCUUCCUGUCGCUUUUCUCCCUCCCCUCCAAUGGCGGCACCUUCAGGCAACUCACCCGCGUGCGAUGCUCCAGAAAUAGCGCCUCCGGCGGAAGUAGCGACAGUGGUGGCUCCGUCGUUGGAAGAAAGAGCUCCAUCGAAAGCCGAAGCUUCUUCCGGGAUCCCAAUGGCGAUCCCAAUAGCGGCCUCAUCCUCCGCAGCUGCACCGGCGGUCACGCCGACUACAAGGAAUUUCAUCCCAGAGGUCAUUACCGAAUCCUUCCUCUAUCAGCAAUACAUUUACUUUAGAUCUAUUUCUUACUUUCGCACCCCCUUUCCUUUUUUAGGCGGUUAGGCAUCGCAUUGUUGGAGGUAUGCCCUAGAGGCAAUCAUAGAGAUGAUGAUAUUCCAUUUGUAUCCAUGAUUUGUAUACUGUGUUCAUUGAAUAUCCAUUAAAGGCUACUUGAAUUGAUUUGCAAUUAUGUGAAUUGUAUGUGAAACUCUUUACUUGUAUGGUUAUUCUAAAGUUGUCCCUAGUCGGAGUUCAUGUGAGGACACACAUGAAUAUUAGACUAGCACAUGUAUUAGUUGAUGACUAUGUUUCACAAGUCAUGGACAUGGAGAUGUUGAACUAAUAAUGUGGACACAUGUGGAGACAUGUGUUAGGACUGACCCAACACGAGAAGUAGUUCUCUCUUUAAACAACAUAUACGCUUUGUCCUUAGACCUGAGAUUGUCGCAUGUAUUCUAGAUGUGGAUUGACCUACUUAGGGGCUAUCAAACGCUACGCCGUAACAGGGUAGUUAUAAAGGUAGCUUUCGGGUUUGUCAAGAAGCAUGCUAUGAGACAUGGUCAAUCAAGAUGGGAUUUGCCCCUCUCUGAUUGAGAGUGAUAUCUCUGGGCCCCUCGAGUGAUCGGAUCAGAAAAUGCAUGGCCAUGCUACGUACGGUUAAGAGUUAACCUACAAAGGGAUUCCGAAUCAUAGGAUCGAGAAAGAGCGGUCGGCUUGAAGCUAGACCAAAUAUCGUGAGGCAAAGGGAAUAGCAUGUAUAUUAUGUUGUGAUGGUUCGUCUGAUAUGAUCUUCGUAUGCGUAUAGGAGUUGGCACGUCUUGCUAGAGGCCGCUACCGACUAUUGGGCCGAGUAGGAGUACUCGGACCAUGUCUAUACGUAUCCGAACCCAUAGGGUCACACACUUAAGGGGCUGGAAGCCCAAUUCGGAUCUGAUCCGAGUUGGAUUAGGUUUAGGAGUACUAAUGGGCCUCGGAUCCAGAGGCCCAUCAGGAACCCCUAUAAAUAGAGGGGUGGGGGCGCCCUAGGGUUUCACACCUUUUGGCUGAACACACUUGCCGCGCCUCCCACGCCCUCGCCUGUUGCAACUCGCGGAUCUAGCAAUCCGGCUUGCGACGCUUCCUCCCUGCACGUGUGGAUACCUUGGAGGUGUUGCGCCUGCAGCACUUCGACGAGCCGCCGACGAGCCGCGACGAGCCGACGACGAGCCACGGUACCAGAGGCGGUCUUGCUGUGCACGUAGACGAGCUGCUGAGGAGCUGCUGGACGUGAUCGACUACGUACGACUACGUUGAUCGACUACGUACGACUACGUGAUCGUCUUCACUGCAUCGACGCAAAUCUACAUCUUCCGCACCAGUAGUGCGUCGAGUGGUAAUCCCGUGAUCCUUAUACGGCAGUUCUUCCUGGUUAUACGCGGUAGAAAAUUUUGAUUUGCGCUAGUGUAGCCUACCUCGUAUCCCAACAGUGGUAUCAGAGCCUUAGCUGCUUAGUUUUGGAUUCGGGAUGUAUGCAUAUGGAGAUAUGCGAGUUCUCUGUUUGAUCUAUGUCCUGAUUUCGUGCCCUUGCUGCAAUGGUAGUGUAACGACAUACUCCUACCGGUCGGUUUCCGCCAUCGGAGUUAAGUGAUACACGUAAAUCCAGUUGCAGUGAGGGAAGAUCAAUAUGAUUGGUCAAAUCGAGAUCCAGGGUCAUACGCCAGGCGCAUUAGAUGUGCAAUAGUAGAUGUGAUCUACUGCCGGGGUCGGGAUUUUGCCGUAUGCGCAUGCUUCGGUAAAUCAGCCGUAACUUUUCGGUACGAUCUCGGAUCGGGGCGAUUUCUAUACGAAAAUUGAUCUACAGAAAAAGUUACACGUGAAUUUCAACGGCUUUGCCAUUUUCGGCGAAAUUAGAUUUGCCAAAUUCGGCUUGGAAGAUGGAGUUUCGGGCCUCCCAAGUUUGGAACGUUAGGACGCCUAACUCUCUUUUGCAGGAUGUAUGUAUAUAUCUUGUGAUCAGUAUGGCCCCCUUGUGUAUGUGAUGCAUGUGUGUAACUAAUUCGUGACCUGCGUGUCGCGCGUACGGCAACACGGCAGGAGCCAUAUGUGUUGUCACUUUAUUGUAAUUAAUGGUCUGCGUACCAAUCUGUGAUGAUCCAAGCAACUAUGUAAUCUUCAUUACUAGAUUCUUUACUAGCUAUUAGGCGUAAUAGCAUGCUCUAGUUCUUGGAGGACUCAUCACCAGGAGGAUGGCGCACAUGGAACAUGGAGAUGGAGAUCACCAUGGUGAACAGGUUCUAUGGAGAUGGAGAUCACCAUAAGAAAAACGGGCCAUACUGUGUCACAACUGUGUGAAUGCUAUUCUGUUUUAUGUUUUACUUUCUGCAUGCUGUGAUGUUAGAAGUAGAACGAUCCCUCACAAAGUUUAAGUUAGUAUGCCCUCCCAACUAAAACUUGCGCCGUCCCAUGUCUUGUACAAUUAGUGGUGGGUCUAUGAAAUUAGGGUGCCACUAGUUUUCCUUGACUAGACGGGUUUGUGUCGGACACUUACACGCAUAAGGGUUGGUUUACUUAACAAGGUUAUCUUAACGGUUAAGGACCUUGGGGCAUAAAGGUUGGGCGCCGAGACAUAGAGAUGUCACCCAACAACAGGAGUCAUAUGUGAUAUGAUUAGCAAAAGUUGCUUACCGACCUACCUCGUUUGCUAGCGGUGAUGCUAAAGCUCACUAGUAGACUUGUUAGUUGUGGAUCCUGAAUCACUAAGUUUCAAUAGAGGGAUAUUGAUUUUAGUGGGAGUAGAUUCUGUUAAAAUAGUUUAAUGUAAUUUGCUCUAUCAUGGAUACGUUUGUCUUAGUGUAUUUUGCAUUACUUUUGUUGUAGAUUAAAUGGCACCUAGCAACACCACCACAUCUUUUGCUUUGCGUUCGGUCCUUGAGAAGGACAAGUUGAAUGGAACAAACUACUCGGAUUGGAUCCGCAACCUGAGAAUUGUUCUCAGGGCUGAGAAAAAGGAAGAUGUUCUAGACAACCCACUACCAGAAGAACCUGCUGAGGAUGCACCCGCCGCUGCUAAGAAUGCUUACAAGAAAGCAUGUGAUGCUAACCUCGAAGUAAGCUGCCUUAUGCUUGCUUGCAUGGAACCCGAGCUGCAGAUGCAGUUCGAAACAAACCAUGAGGCGCACGAUAUGAUCGUGGCGCUUAGAGACAUGUUCCAAACACAGGCCAGGACUGAAAGGUUCAAUGUGUCUAAGGCCUUUGUUGAGAGCAAGCUAGCAGAAGGCGCAGCAGUAGGACCACACGUAAUCAAGAUGGUUGGUUACACUCAACGGUUGGAGAAGCUAGGCUUCCCACUGGGCCAAGAGUUGGCCACUGAUUUCAUUCUUUCGUCUCUUCCUCCUAGCUAUGGGAACUUCAUCUCGAACUACCAUAUGUAUGGGACGGAGAAGGGUCUGAAUGAGCUGUGUGGCAUGCUUAAAACAGCAGAGGCUGACAUAAAGAAAAGCGCUAGUACCAUCCAUGUGAUGGCGAUACAGAACAAGCCCAGCUUUAAGAAGAAGGGCAAUUCUUGGAAGAAGAAGGGCAAGGCUGGAACGUCCAAGCCAAACCCACCGCCCAAGGUUAAAGCUGGACCUGGACCUGCUCCAGAUAAAGAGUGCUUUUACUGUCAUGAACUUGGUCACUGGAAGAGAAACUGCAAGCAGUACCUAGCUUCGUUGAAGAACGGCGGAAGUAAGAGUACUUCUACCUCAGGUACGCUUGUUGUUUAUGUUAUAGACAACAUAUUUCUCGCUGAUACAGUUAUUAAUUCUUGGGUAUUUGAUACCGGAUCGGUUGCUCAUAUUUGCAAUUCGAUGCAGGGAAUGAUAAGAAGUAGAAGCGUGGAAAGAGGAGAAGUUGAUUUCCGCGUGGGCAAUAAUGCAAGAGUUGCUGCUUUGACCGUCGGGACGAUGCAACUCCACCUCCCGUCAGGAUUUAUUAUGGAGUUGAAUAAUUGUUAUUUUGUUCCUAGUUUAAGUCGAAACAUUUUAUCUCCUUCAUGUUUGAUGAAGGAUGGUUAUUCAUUUGCGAGUGAAAACAAUGGUUGUGUGAUCUCUAAGAAUAAUAUGUUUAUGGCUUUUGCACCCAUUGUGAAUGGAUUAUUUGUUUUAAAUCUUGAUGGUUCACCUGUCUGUAAUGUAAGUGCUAAAAGGCCUCGGCCUAAUGAUUUGAGUCCUACAUACUUGUGGCAUUGUCGUUUGGGUCACAUAAGUGAUAAGCGCAUGAAGAAGCUCCAUUCUGAUGGACUUCUAACUUCGUUUGAUUUUGAAUCAUACGAGACAUGUGAGGCUUGCUUGCUAGGCAAGAUGACCAAGACGCCUUUCACAGGAUUUCCUGAGAGAGCAGUAGACUUGUUGGAACUCGUACAUAGUGAUGUAUGCGGACCAAUGAGCACGACGGCUAGAGGAGGAUUCCAAUACUUCAUAACUUUCACUGAUGAUUUUAGUAGAUAUGGCUAUGUCUACUUGAUGAGGCACAAGUCUGAAACCUUUGAAAAGUUCAAGGAAUUUCAGAAUGAAGUUGAAAAUCAGCGUGGCAAGAAAAUUAAGGCCUUACGAUCUGAUCGUGGAGGCGAGUAUUUGAGCCACGAGUUUAGCAAUCAUCUAAAGAGUUGCGGAAUUGUUCCACAACUUACGCCGCCUGGAACACCUCAGAGAAACGGUGUGUCCGAGCGACGUAAUCGAACUUUGUUAGACAUGGUUCGAUCAAUGAUGAGCCAGUCGGACCUACCGUUGUCAUUUUGGGGAUAUGCUCUAGAAACAGCAGCUUUCACACUUAAUAGGGUACCAUCUAAAUCCGUAGUUAAGACACCAUAUGAGAUGUGGACUGGAAAGGUUCCUAGUUUGUCUUUUCUAAAGAUUUGGGGAUGUGAAGUGUUUGUCAAGCGACUUCAGUCGGACAAGAUCACACCCAAGUCGGAUAAGUGCAUUUUCGUGGGAUAUCCAAAGGAAACUUUGGGAUAUUAUUUCUACAACCGAUCAGAAGGCAAAGUGUUUGUCGCUCGGAACGGGGUUUUCCUAGAGAAAGAGUUUCUCAAAGGAGAAAAGAGUGGAAAGACAGUGCAUCUUGAAGAAGUUCAAGAUGAGCCAAUCGGGCAAGAAUCAAUGAGUGAUGCUAACGUAGCAGAACAAGUUGAGAUACCCAUGGCAAGAGAAGCACCGCCACAACCACGAAGGUCGGCAAGGCUCCGCGAAAUGCGGGAAAUAUUAUUGUUGGACAAUGAUGAGCCUGCGACAUAUGCAGAAGCAAUGAUGGACCCAGACUCCGAAAAAUGGCAGAGUGCCAUGCAAUCCGAAAUAGAGUCCAUGGGAGACAAUCAAGUUUGGAACUUGGUUGACCCACCUGAUGGUGUUAAAGCCAUAGAGUGCAAGUGGAUCUAUAAGAAGAAAAAGGACAUGGAUGGAAAUGUUCACAUCUAUAAAGCACGACUUGUCGCGAAAGGUUUUCGACAAGUUCAAGGAGUUGACUACGACGAGACCUUCUCGCCCGUAGUGAUGCUUAAGUCCAUUCGGAUUAUUCUAGCUAUAGCUGCAUAUUUCGAUUAUGAGAUAUGGCAGAUGGAUGUCAAGACAGCUUUCCUGAAUGGAAACCUAGCUGAGGACGUGUAUAUGAUACAGCCCGAGGGUUUUGUCGAUCCGAAAAAUGCUGGAAAGGUAUGCAAGCUUCAGAGAUCCAUUUAUGGAUUGAAGCAAGCAUCUAGGAGUUGGAACAUUCGUUUUGAUGAAGUGGUCAAAGGGUUUGACUUCACCAAGAACGAAGAAGAGUCUUGUGUUUACAAGAAGGUUAGUGGGAGCUCUGUAGUAUUUCUAAUCUUAUAUGUGGAUGACAUAUUACUGAUUGGAAAUAACAUUCCUAUGCUUGAGUCCGUAAAGACUUCACUGAAAAAUAGUUUUUCGAUGAAGGACUUAGGGGAAGCGGCAUAUAUUCUGGGCAUUAAGAUCUAUAGAGAUAGAUCGAGAAGGCUUAUAGGUUUGAGCCAAGAUACUUAUAUUGACAAAGUGUUGAAGCGGUUCAGCAUGGAAGAGGCAAAGAAAGGGUUCUUGCCUAUGUCACAUGGCAUACAUCUCAGCAAGACUCAGUGUCCUUCGACUGCUGAUGAGCGGGAUCGCAUGAGUAGAGUGCCAUAUGCCUCGGCUAUUGGAUCUAUCAUGUAUGCAAUGAUAAGUACUCGCCCAGAUGUUUCAUAUGCGCUAAGUAUGACAAGCAGACACCAAUCUGAUCCAGGUGAGAGUCACUGGACAGCGGUGAAAAACAUUCUUAAGUACUUGAGAAGGACUAAAGAUAUGUUCCUCGUCUAUGGAGGUCAGGAGGAGCUCGUUGUAACAGGUUACACCGAUGCUAGUUUCCAAACCGACAGAGAUGAUUCAAAGUCACAAUCAGGAUUUGUGUUCACGCUAAAUGGUGGUGCUGUUAGUUGGAAGAGUUCCAAGCAGGAGACGGUGGCCGAUUCUACGACAGAAGCCGAGUACAUCGCGGCUUCGGAAGCCGCGAAGGAAGGUGUUUGGAUAAGGAAUUUCCUCAUUGAGCUUGGUGUGUUCCCGAAUGCGUCCAGCCCAUUGAAUCUCUACUGUGAUAAUAAUGGGGCAAUUGCGCAAGCAAAGGAGCCAAGGAACCACCAGAAGAACAAACACGUAAUGCGGCGAUUUCAUCUCAUUCGAGACUUCGUUAACCGGGGUGAGAUCAAGAUAUGCAAAAUACACACGGAUCUGAACAUUUCUGAUCCGUUGACAAAACCACUCCCGCAGGCUAAGCAUGAUGCGCAUGUAAGAGCUAUGGGUAUUAGGUACCUUCUAGAUUGACUCUAGUGCAAGUGGGAGACUGUUGGAGGUAUGCCCUAGAGGCAAUCAUAGAGAUGAUGAUAUUCCAUUUGUAUCCAUGAUUUGUAUACUGUGUUCAUUGAAUAUCCAUUAAAGGCUACUUGAAUUGAUUUGCAAUUAUGUGAAUUGUAUGUGAAACUCUUUACUUGUAUGGUUAUUCUAAAGUUGUCCCUAGUCGGAGUUCAUGUGAGGACACACAUGAAUAUUAGACUAGCACAUGUAUUAGUUGAUGACUAUGUUUCACAAGUCAUGGACAUGGAGAUGUUGAACUAAUAAUGUGGACACAUGUGGAGACAUGUGUUAGGACUGACCCAACACGAGAAGUAGUUCUCUCUUUAAACAACAUAUACGCUUUGUCCUUAGACCUGAGAUUGUCGCAUGUAUUCUAGAUGUGGAUUGACCUACUUAGGGGCUAUCAAACGCUACGCCGUAACAGGGUAGUUAUAAAGGUAGCUUUCGGGUUUGUCAAGAAGCAUGCUAUGAGACAUGGUCAAUCAAGAUGGGAUUUGCCCCUCUCUGAUUGAGAGUGAUAUCUCUGGGCCCCUCGAGUGAUCGGAUCAGAAAAUGCAUGGCCAUGCUACGUACGGUUAAGAGUUAACCUACAAAGGGAUUCCGAAUCAUAGGAUCGAGAAAGAGCGGUCGGCUUGAAGCUAGACCAAAUAUCGUGAGGCAAAGGGAAUAGCAUGUAUAUUAUGUUGUGAUGGUUCGUCUGAUAUGAUCUUCGUAUGCGUAUAGGAGUUGGCACGUCUUGCUAGAGGCCGCUACCGACUAUUGGGCCGAGUAGGAGUACUCGGACCAUGUCUAUACGUAUCCGAACCCAUAGGGUCACACACUUAAGGGGCUGGAAGCCCAAUUCGGAUCUGAUCCGAGUUGGAUUAGGUUUAGGAGUACUAAUGGGCCUCGGAUCCAGAGGCCCAUCAGGAACCCCUAUAAAUAGAGGGGUGGGGGCGCCCUAGGGUUUCACACCUUUUGGCUGAACACACUUGCCGCGCCUCCCACGCCCUCGCCUGUUGCAACUCGCGGAUCUAGCAAUCCGGCUUGCGACGCUUCCUCCCUGCACGUGUGGAUACCUUGGAGGUGUUGCGCCUGCAGCACUUCGACGAGCCGCCGACGAGCCGCGACGAGCCGACGACGAGCCACGGUACCAGAGGCGGUCUUGCUGUGCACGUAGACGAGCUGCUGAGGAGCUGCUGGACGUGAUCGACUACGUACGACUACGUUGAUCGACUACGUACGACUACGUGAUCGUCUUCACUGCAUCGACGCAAAUCUACAUCUUCCGCACCAGUAGUGCGUCGAGUGGUAAUCCCGUGAUCCUUAUACGGCAGUUCUUCCUGGUUAUACGCGGUAGAAAAUUUUGAUUUGCGCUAGUGUAGCCUACCUCGUAUGCCAACACGCAUCACUAUCCAUCUUACGGGAAAUCCCGGCCUUGUCUGCCUCGGACCCAUGGGGAACCCAGAUCCAACCGAGCUCAUUAAUUUGGAAACCCAUAGAAUCCCCUUCAAACAAUCCACCAUGGACCUGGAUCACUGGCUGGGCACCUUUAGGUCUUGGCCGAAUGAAACUCCCGGUUGGAGGGAGUGGUACCAGCGGAUAGCCGCAUCCAAGAGGGUCCAAUGGGAUGAGCUCAAAAUCGGCCAAUGCAUCAACCUAUCUCUGUCCCAGAUGGAGCAAAAUGAACCAUUAGUGAUAGCAGCCUCUUACUUCUGGUUUGAUGCUCUUAAUGCAUUUUUGUUCGGUCACGGACCCAUGACCCCCACACUGGCCGAUGUGGUUUUGCUGACCGGUCUGGACAUUUCCUCCCCGGACACCCCUUUCCGCCUUUUAGCCGCAACAUCACAUCGGCUGGACACAAGGGGAAUCGGCGGGUGGAAGGGCUUUAUUAGAUGCAACAAAAGAGCCGGAUCUAUUGAGAACAGGGAGCACACGGCCUUCCUAAUGAUGUGGUUGGAGAAACACUUCUUUUGCGGGAGAGCAGCUGGCCCAUCAACCAACACCCAAGCUUUAGCCGAAGCAUUAUCAGUAGGGACCCCUGUUCCUCUUGGAAAACACUUGCUAGGAGCGGCAUACCACAUGCACCAUCAAAUCGGCAUCAAACUAUCCAAAGGGGAGCCAAUUGGAAAUCCAGGCGGACCCUGGUGGUUCAUUAAUUUGUGGCUGAACCUUUAUAUGAGCAAGAUUUCUCAGCAGAGGGUGGAGCACAUGACGUUCCCCAGCAUCGAAUCGGCAGAGGAUCCCACUGCCCGAUGCCGAUGCACAUCUUUCGGCGAAGCGGUGUCGGCCUUCCCGGGUUGUCUGUAUUCUGCUACCAAAGUGGCCGAGUACUUCCGGUGCUUUUACAACGGUUUUAAUGAAGAUGCAACCGUCUGGUUUCCUUAUCGGCGAGAUGACCCCAUCUUUGAGCUCCCUUCUUGCUUUGACUCAACUACUAGCCGAUUCGACGACGACCUUACAGAUGAGUUAAUCAAACCGGGAAUUCUGCCGGCCAACUUCUUCUCAGGGAAAGAUGCUCCUACAUAUGAGUUCUACAAUCCCUCUGCUGCAGCACGUCAGUUCGGCAUGGGUCAGCUGCCGAUUCAAGUGUACUUCGCUGGCCGUGCUAAGUUCAGAGAUGAGCUUACAACAGGUCUGGACUAUAAUCGGCUGCGAGACCGGAUCCCAAACUCCAACACUAUUGACUUGAACGACUGGAUAGUAGCUCCCUUCGCUGUCCAACCGUUCAAGCUUUGGUGGGCUGAAUGGAAACAAUACCUUUUUUGCAACUCCGCGUCGACAUACUGUAAUCUCCUGGAUCCGACCAACGUCGACCCGAACGCCGAGGUAUUUUUCCUUAGCCAAUUUUUACUCUUCUAUCAACGCGGUUGAAUACAUAUACUAACAUCUUGCUAUUGCUUCAGUCCGAGAACCGUGUCCCCCCAACACGCAGCCAGAGUGGCCGUCCAAUAGAAGAUCAUCAUCCAUACACCACCUACCCUCUUAUCGGCUACAACGCCCCUUCCGUGGACGUGAUUGCUGGCCGAUCGAAGCAAGCGCAGAAGAAAGUCACCAAGAAGACCAGUCGCCGAGUCCGAGCCCGUAUAGAAUCAGCGGAUCCUCCCACGAUCGUAUCGGCAGAGACUUCGGCCGCACCGCCUCUUCAAGCUGCCAGAGAGAUAGAUACUCAAGUUGUCGCGCAAGCUGGGGCAGCCGCUGCAUCACUACUGGUAGAGGCCGUGCAGAUAAACUUAUGUUUAAUCCUUCCGAUUGUUGUCUCAAUACUAACCCUUCUUAUCUUAGACUGCACAGAUCACUCCUACGAACCCACAACAAUCGGCAGCAACCCAAUCGGUCACCGACGCGCCCCCGCUUCCAUCUGUCGAGGUAUAACACUCUUUCACCGAUUCCCCUAGUAUUUGAAUGACGUUCUCAUUCAACCCUUUGACACAGGUCAUCGGUACGCCAAGCGCCCCUCUUGAUCAACCAAUGGUCCCCUCCCGGGAAGCUGGUCCAAGCACAGCACCAAUCAUCGUAGAGUCUUCUUCUUCUGAUGAACCAAUGGCACCAGCCCCUGAACCGAGGAUAACAGCUCCCCAAAUGCAGCUCGAGGAAAUCCGAUUCAAGGAGGUAAGAGACCUUUCGCCUUUACUUAGCCGAUUCGCUAUCACCAUCGGCUGAUUCGUUUUUUCUUCCUGACUUAUUAUUUCAAGGAACAGGACACUCCUGACAACAGCCUCUUCUCAUUUGCGGUCGCCCUCUCUGAUGACAAAGAAGUCGCUUCCCGCCAAGUCACUUUGAGCUCCAUCCCUGACGAUGUCCGAGCCAAACUUACUAGCAUCCGAUCCCUUCUUCAAGAAGACAUCGGCCGAUUGGUAGAAGAUGCCUCGCCGAUUCGGCAGCUCUUUGGUGACGUCAGCGGACGGGUGCCAGAGGAAGCGGAGGAAGCCUUGGUGCCGGCCGCGUAUAUCGAGUCGAUGAGGAUCCCAGUUUUCAGGGCCCUGCGUCACAUGGCCGAUCGCGCCAAGUUGGCCAAGACUCGUGAAGAAGAAGAUACGUACAAGCGUCAGGCCCAAGAGGUGCAUCAACGCAUUCACUUUCUGGAAGACUCUCGCCCAGGAAUCGUCGGCACGAUAGAUCGCCUCAAACGCCGAAGAGCAGAGCUUGCCAAAGAGAUGGAACAGGUGACCAAAGCCAUAAAUGCCGAAGAGAAGAGGCUUCAAGAACUCCCAUCCGUCAUCGCCGAUCUGAAACAGGAGAGGCAGCAUCUGGCCCACGAAGCCCUUAAACUCCACCGCAAUAUGCCAGAAGUCCCUGGAUCGGCAGAUGAUGAUCACCGGAUCCUAGACUCUGCCGAUCAGAUCCGGCGCCGAGCGAUAUCGGCUAUCGAUGCCCUUCUGGGUAGCCUGUAAAAGUACUGGCUAUUUUUGUACGAACGUUUAAUGACUCCUUUGACCGCCCUUCGCAGCGCCUUUUAUUUAUUGCCUUUCUCACUUCCGAUGGGACGCGCCUUACCAAAUAUCUACGCCUCCUUUUCUUAUAAAUGUCGGCCUAGACCCCCUUCCCAAGAGUACCAGUUUAGCUCGGCUUCACCUCCCCAACCUGCUUUCGUCGGCGUGAUUUUCGGCCAUGUCUUCUUCAUCCUCUUCCUCUUCCUCUGUUAACCAGGUGAAAAUCUUGCCUUGAUCCUUCUUCUCAGUUUAGCUCUUUUGAAAGGAAUCACCUUUUUAAUCAUUCUUUUCUUCAGCCACGGCGCCUUAGCCCCGAACUCGAACGCGCCAUCGAGCUCAUGCACUCUGAUGAACCGUUGCCGUCAGAGGACAAGGACUUAAUUAGGGCUCAUCGUGACGAACUUCAAGAACAUGUCGGUGCUGACAUCCGACGGAUCUGGGACUUUCUGGACGGCAACACCCGCCGGCGACCUCAAGCCGACAGAAGUCAUCCGCUUCCUCCACAAGUCGCCCUUGAAGAUGCGGCAAAAGGGACAUCGCGCCCGGCCAUGGACCGGAGCCACCCUCUCCCCCAUCAAGUCGAAGUGGAGGCUUCGAUGAAAGAGAUAGAAGAAGAGUACAUCCGUCUUAUGAUAGAAUUAGGUCGGGCUGAGAGAGAGCGUAAGAAAAGGCAUGGUUUAUUAUUUUUUGUUCUAAGGACGACUUGUACCUUGUCGGCCGUGUAACCCACCGUCCGUACCGAAUGAAUACAUCGGCCGAUUUGGACGAUUACAUGUUUUCUCUAGACGAACCUUUUUGUAUCGGCUGUGUGCCGUUUAUCGUGGUUGAUUCUUUAUGCUCCGACCCAUAUACUAGGGUAGUAUCUUUUCAAGUACCUUCCGUUCAGAGCCCUAGUAAACUCUUCUCCUUCGAUUGUUUCCAAAAUAUAAGCAUUUCCUGGAGCACAUCUGCCGAUUUUAUACAGCCCUUCCCAUGUAGGGGACCACUUUCCGAAUUUAGGAUCUUUCGACCCAAUCGGCAACACUAACUUCUAAACCAGGUCCCCUUGAGAGAAUUGUUUGACUUUGACCUUCUUAUCAUACCACCUGGCCACUUUCUUCUUGUUUUCCUCAAUGCUUAUCAAAGCUCUCAAUCGUUGGCCAGCCAAGUCAUCAAGUUCCCUUUUCAUGAGUGAUGAGUAGUCGUCGGCCGUUAACUGGUCCUGGAGCGAAAUGCACCUCGACCUCGCCCUUGAUUCCCACGGUAGUACUGCAUCGUGACCGUACACCAACUGAUAAGGGGAUAACUUGGUGGCCCCAUGGCAAGCCAUCCUGUAUGCCCAUAGGGCUUCAGUUAGGUAUAGAUGCCAUUUUUUCGGCUGCUCCUCUAUCUUCCUCUUGAUUAACUUAAUUAUCCCCUUGUUGGAGGAUUCGGCCUGGCCGUUAGCUUGGGCAUAAUAUGGAGAGGAGUUCAACAAUUUGAUUCCCAUAUCGGCUGUGAACUCUUCGAAUUCUCCUGAUGUGAACAUUGUUCCCUGAUCGGUUGUGAUAGUCUGGGGAAUGCCGAAUCGGUAGACGAUAUGGUCCCUCACGAAGUCGACCAUGGUAGCCGAUGUCACGGCUCUUAACGGAAUUGCUUCCACCCAUUUGGUAAAGUAAUCGGUGGCCACCAGAAUAAAUUUGUGCCCUUUGCUUGAUGGAGGAUAAAUUUGGCCGAUAAGGUCUAUUCCCCAUCCUCUAAACGGCCAUGGCUUGAUAAUGGCAUUCAUGGCCGAUGCGGGCGCACGUUGGACAUUCCCGAAUUUCUGACAAUCCUGGCAUCCCUUAUAAUAUUUGAAGCAAUCUUCGAGGAUCGUUGGCCAGUAAUACCCAUUAUUCCUGAUCAUCCAUGUCAUCUUAUGGGCUGACUGGUGGGCUCCACACACCCCUUCAUGGAUUUCUCCCAUCAGAGUCUUAGCCUCUUCUGUUCCCAGACACUUGAGCAGGACGCCGUCAAUUGUUCGGUAGAAUAAGUCAUCUUCAAGCAGUACGUAUUUGGUAGCAUGGAAACGCACCCGUCGAUCCACUUUCUUAGACGGAUCUUUCAGGUAGUCGGCAAUUUCUUUUCGCCAGUCAUCGGCCGCGAGUUCCAGAGCCAUAGCGCCUAGAAUUGGCCGAUAUCCAGAUGCGUGCUGGGCGAGUUUGUUGGCAUCCUCGUUGUGAUCCCUUGGGAUGUGUUUGAUUACUGCCGAUUUGAAUUCUUUUAAGAGCUGUAGACAAUCCUCGUAAUAAAUUCUCAAUACGUCGUCUUUGCAUUCAGACUUCCCUGUUAAUUGAUCCACAAUAAGCAUGGAAUCCCCGAAGACUUCAACAGAAUCGGCCUUGACUUCUCUUAGUAAUUGUAAUCCCUUCAAUACAGCCCGGUACUCUGCUUGAUUGUUAGUGGCGGUGGCUUCUAUCGGCAGAGAAAAAUCAUAACUUGCCCCCCGAGGCGAUAUGAGGACGAUGCCGAUUCCUGAUCCGACCCCACAUGACAAUCCAUCAAAGUAUAAAGUCCAUGGUACCGGUUCCACGAAGGUAGUCUCUGGUCCGUAGUAUUGGGCGACAAAAUCGGCCAUGACCUGACCCUUGACGGCUUUCGCCGAUUCAUACCGUAGGUCAAACUCUGACAAAGCUAAGAUCCAUUUGCCGAUUCGUCCUUUCAAGAUCGGCAGUGAUAGCAUGUAUUUUACUACGUCGUCUUUGCAUACGACCACACAUUCCGCCGACAGUAAAUAGUGCCUGAGUUUGGUGCAUGAGAAGUAAAGACAUAGGCACAACCGCUCCACUGGAGGAUAUCUUGUUUCGGCGUCCAGAAGUCUUCUACUGACAUAAUAAAUUACUCGUUCCUUUCCUUCGAACUCCUGGACUAGAGCCGACCCAAUAGCCUUUUCAUCGGCUAAUAAAUAUAAUUUAAAUGGCUUACCAGUUUGAGGAGGGACCCAUACUGGUGGUGAGACCAAGUACUGCUUGAUAUCUUCCAGUGCCUUGCGUUGCUUCUCCCCCCAUAUGAACUCCUGGUCGGGCUUCAACUUUAAUAGUGGUGUGAAAGCUUGGAUCCGCCCAGAUAGAUUAGAUAUGAAUCUUCUGAUGAAAUUCACCUUGCCGAUUAAAGACUGCAAUUCAGUUUUAUUCUGCGGGGCCACGACUUUGUUGAUAGCCGCUAUGGUCUUCCGAUUGAUUUCUAUUCCCCGCUCGUGCACCAUGAAUCCUAAGAACUGUCCGGUGGACACGCCGAAGGCACAUUUAUUCGGGUUCAUCUUCAGCCCAUGUUUCUUAGUGCAUUCCAGCACUUUUCGCAAAUCGGCCACAUGCUCUUCGUGAACUUUGGACUUGACUACGACGUUGUCGAUGUAGAUUUCUACCAGUAUGCCGAUGAGUUUGUGAAAUAUGUAGUUCAUGGCUCUCUGAUACGUGGCGCCGACGUUUUUCAAGCCAAAAGUCAUCACCACCCACUCGAAUAAACCAAGGUGGCCAGGGCAUCUGAAGGCCGUUUUGGGUAUGUCCUCUUCGGCCAUAAGUAUUUGAUUGUACCCAGCAUUUCCGUCCAUGAAGCUAAUAAUCUUGUGUCCCGCGGCAGCGUCUAUCAGCACAUCGGCCGUUGGCAUGGGGUAUCCGUCCAUCGGUGUGGCCUGAUUAAGAUUCCUGAAAUCAACACACACGCGUAGCUUUCCGUUCUUCUUGUAUACUGGUACAAUGUUGGAGAUCCACCCGGCAUAACGGCAUUGCCGAAUAAAUUUUGCUUCGAUUAGCCGAGUUAUUUCGGCUUUUAUGUCUGGUAGAAUUUUAGGAUUGCACCGCCGUGCAGGCUGUUGAUACGGCCGAUAUCCUGGUUUUAUGGGUAGCCGAUGUUCAACAAUAGAUCGAUCUAAUCCGGGCAUCUCAUGAUACUCCCAAGCAAAACAAUCCUUAAAUUCUCUUAACAAAUUUGUCAGUUUACAUUUGUAUUCUGAGUCUAAAUUUGCACUAAUAUAAGUCAGCCUUGGUUUGGUGCCAUCGCCUAAGUCUAUCAUCUCUAAUGAAUCGGCCGACGUGAACCCGUGCCCUAGCUUCCCAUCUUCUCGGGCGAACUGAUCCAUUUAAUCUGAGUCUUCGGAGCCGACUGCUCGGAUCGGCUGUAGGCCAAAAUUGGACACCUUCAAGAAGUCGGUAUCCCAUACUCUACCGGAUAUGCACUUGACGGUUUCGCAGCUCCACUGCUGCGUGUCGGCUGCCGCGAUGCUGUAUGCGGAAUCGGCGUUGACCACCUCGAUGUUGUCGCCGACCCAUUGUACAAGACAUUGAUGCAUUGUCGAUGGGAUGCAGCAAUUUGCGUGUAUCCAGUCUCGGCCGAGUAGCAUGUUGUAGGAUCCCUUGCCAUUAAUAAUAAAGAAGGUAGUGGGAAGGGUCUUACUGCCGAUGGUGAGGUUGACGCAGAGGGCGCCACGAGCAGGGGACACGUUGCCUUCAAAGUCCUUGAGCAUCAUGUCUGUCUUGGUCAAGUCAUCAUCGCUUUUCCCAAGCUUCCGGAGCACGGCAUAUGGCAUGAUGUUGACUGCAGCUCCUCCGUCUACCAUUAAUCUGGUGAGGGGUCGGCCGUUGACAUGCCCUUUAAGGAACAACGCUUUCAGGUGUUGCCGUUUGUCAUCUUCGGGCUUCUCAAACGUGGCUAUCAUUGGCUCCAAAGCCAAUUGUGCCAUCUGUUCUUCUAUCGCCGACAUAUCCUGUCGGUCGGCAGGAAUCAUAAAUUCCAUCAGCAGUAUGAAAACCAUACCGAUGUCGGCUGCCGAUUCAUCGCCCGCCGAUUCGUCGCCUCCUCUGUCGUUUCUUUUGGGGCGCCAUACCUGAGACCUGCCUUCCCUCUUGUCCGUCGUAUACUGUUGUUCUUCCUCCUGCUGUUCCCACUGGCGGAGACGUUGGAUCCUUCAUUUUUGAGAUUUGGUCAAUCCGUCGGGACACCACCUGGGGUUUACUGGUUUGGUUCUUGGCCUGGUGCGUUCCCAUUCCGGCUUGCGUCCUAAAGGGUUUUCGUCUGUCACUCGGGCAUCGGCCAUCUCUUCAAGCCGACUGUGGAUGCUGGCCUUGUUUUCUGGCCGGUCAUGUCGAUCAAACCUGCCCCCCGGCCUGUCUUGGCGUCUGUCUUCCAACCGGUCGUAUCGGUCACUUCUGCCCCCCAGCCGAUCACGCACGGGGGGGCGUCAGUCGUCUUGGUCGCGCCAGUUCCUGCUGAUCGGUUCUGGUCUCCCAUCUCUGGAGCGAGACCUGUUGAACGGCCGAUUGUUACGAUACGGGCCGUUGCACUCAGGGCAAUUAUCGGCCGAAGGUAGCCUGAGAUUGCUUUCCCAACAGUGGAUGAAGAACGGGCACCUCCAGUGAUCUUCAUGUCGCCGCAUCGCUUCUUCCCGGGAUCUUGAGCGUUCAUGUUGCCGCUGAUAUUUAUGGAGCAGGUAUUGGGAAGUAAUGCGUGGCUCACCUGAUCCGCCAUCGUCAUCCUCCAUCCGCCGCUUCCCCUUGACGUCUUCAGUCGUUGUUUGAUUUCUGGGGUCCACGGCACCACUCUUUUUAGCCGAUUCGGAUGUCAAUCGCUUGGUUUGGAGCGAGUUCUUCCCUGUGUCAACCAUGUUGGUGGGGAAGGGGUGCUGGUCGAUCUUCAUCGGCUUGGCUGAUUUUGUUGGUACUUCAAAUUUAAGUCUGCCCUGCUCAAUGGCCAACUGUAUCUGUUGCCGGAAGAUUUUACACUCAUUAGUGUCAUGGGAUGUAGCUGUUGGCGCUAGAAAUCGGUCAACCGAAUCCAGCGACCGACACACGACCCGGGAGAAUCUGCUUAGCUCCUGUUCGGGUGAAUGCCCUGGUGCAGUUCGCGCGGCGUGCCAGCCAAUCUGACCUGUUGAUUGGCAAGGAAGAAUACGUGUCAGGUCCAGAAAUCACGAUCGGCUAAGUUUCCGAUCUUAAGAGAGUUUAUCAGCGAAUCGGGCGAUUUCCUGAAGUAAUGAAAUCAGCUAUAAGACAGUCUGAUCUCUGUAGCCUUGUAGACAGGAAAUUGCCAAAGUAAUCGGUGCAAAGCUAUGAUAACAACACUAGGAAAAGAUCUAAUCGGCAAUAGAUGAAUUUAAAAGCAAAAUGUAGGAAAAGCCGAAACUACCGAUUCCUAGCUGGAUAACUGGUGAUAAAGACUAGAAAAACAGGUAAAACCUAUAGAUCUAGCAAAUACCGAUAACUAGUGAAUAAAUCUAAAUGAAACAACAGCGAUACGCCCGAAGUUAAAGCUUAGGUAUUACUCGAUAAACGGAACUUACAGAAUCGGCCGGAGAUCAAGAUGAUGCAGCCCUGCCAACCCGCACGAACUCGUGAGAAGAGAAAAGUAAUGGCGAAGUCGCCUGCUCGAAAGGAAGUACGACGAAAAAGUAGCUUGUUGUAUUGAUUGGUUCAUGAUUACAGAUUUACAAAGGCAGCUAUUUAUAGCCCCGUACAGAUAACUUCUUAACCGACUAGAACUCUAUCCCUAAUUCAAACAGAAAACGAAUAUCUACAAGCACAAUUCGCGCUAGGUUCGUUACUCCACGCUUCGUGGGCUGAUUUCCACCUUAUCCUUCUAUCCCUUUCCAAGCCCAUACAGGCCCAAUUAGCCCAUCCUCCUAAUCGGCCGAUUCCUUAUCGGCAAAAGGUCACCGAUUGGGACUCUGGUAUAUUCGACCCAAAGCAAGAUAGAAGUCACCGGCCGAUCUCACACUGUAGCACCACUUGGCCGAUUCCCAACUGUACUUCUCCGAUUCCCCCUCUUCUUGGCGCCGAUUCUACUAGUGACAAAAUCUGGCGUCAACACAUGCCCCCCAGUUUCGGAGUAAAACAUAGUCUUUUACUUCGAAAUUCUUUAUAACUUCUCCUCCGAAACGGCCGCAGUGAAAAUAUCCUUCCGUUUCGCGGUCUUCCAGCUGAUCAUUGCAAUUUUUUCGAAACGGGCGCCCACGACAGCCACUACUCCCGAAAAACUCGAAGCGCCGGCGCGGUGAAAAUUCCAUUUUUACCCCCCUUCAGGCAUCCUUUCAAUAGCGCUUCACCCGCACCUCAUCUUCAAGCUCACGUCUCUUUUCCCAGCGCGCGCGCCUUCUUCUUCCGUCAGCACCUUUCCCUUGCCGCCGAAGCUUUCUAGCUCCACCUCUUGUUACUCUUCCCUCUUCUCUUUCAAUGGCGGCCCCUUCCGGCAGCUCUCCCGCGCGUGACGCCCCAGAAGUACCUCCGGUGGUGGUGGCGACAACCGUUGCUCCUUCCUCAGAAGAAGGAGCUUCAUCGGAGAUCCCAAUGGCGAUCCCCAUCGCGGCCCCAUCGUCCGCAUCCGCACCGGCGACGACGCCGAUCACCUAGAACUUCAUCCCAGAGGUAAAUACCGAAUCCUUUUUCUAUCGGCAACAAUAUUUACCUUAGAUCUGUUUCUUACUUUUCUACACUCCCCUUUCCUUUUUAGGCAGUUAGGCAUCGAAUUACCAUUCACCUCACGGGAAAUCCCGGCCUUAUUUGUCUCGGACCCAUGGGAAACCCAGAUUCAAUAGAUCUCAUAAAUUUGGAAACUAAUCGGAUACCCUUCAAACUGUCUGAUAUGAACUUAGAUCACUGGCUAGGCACUUUUAGAUCCUGGCCGAAUGAAACCCCAGGUUGGAGGGAGUGGUACCAACGGGUGGCCGCAUCAAAGAGCAUCUCAUGGGAAGAACUCAAAAUCGGCCAGUGCAUCAACCUUUCCUUAUCUCAGAUGGAGAAAAAUGAGCCGUUAGUGAUGGCGGCUUCUUAUUUUUGGUCUGAUGCACUUAAUGCAUUCUUAUUUGGGCACGGUCCUAUGACCCCCACACUGGCCGAUGUGGUCCUGUUGACCGGCCUUGACAUAUCCUCCCCGGAUACACCCUUCCACCUUUUGACCACAACAUCACAUCGGCUGGACACAAGGGGAAUCGGCGGAUGGAAGGGUUUCAUCAGAAGUAAUAAGAGGACCGGGACUGUUGAGAACAGGGAGCACACGGCUUUCCUGAUGAUGUGGCUAGAAAAACACUUCUUUUGCGGAAGAGCCGCCGGCCCAACAACCAACACCCAAGCCUUAGCUGAAGCACUGUCCAGAGGAAACCAUGUCCCCCUCGGGAAACAUCUACUAGGGGCAGUGUACCAUAUGCUUCAUCAAAUCGGCACAAGACUAUCCAAGGGAGAGCCGAUCGGCAAUCAAGGCGGGCCUUGGUGGUUCGUCAAUCUGUGGUUGAACCUUUACAUGAGCAGAAUCACCCAGCAGCCGGUGGACCGCAUGACGUUCCCCAAUAUCGAAUCGGCGGAGGACCCUACCGAACGUCGCCGAUGCAUGUCCUUUGGCGAAGCGGCGUCAGCUUUUCCAGGUUGCGCGUAUUCUGCUACAAAGGUAGCCGAGUACUUUCGAUGCUUCUACAAUGGAUUUAAUGAAGACGCAACCAUUUGGUUUCCGUAUCAGCGAGACGACCCGGUCUUUGAACUCCCCACUUGCUUCGAUUCGGCUUCCGGCCGAUUUGAUGAAGAUCUCUAUGAAGAGUUGAUCAAGCAAGGACUCCUACCAGCCAACUUCUUCUCGAGGAAGGAUGCCCCUACGUACGAAUUCUACAACCCCUCCGCUGCAGCACGUCAAUUCGGCAUGGGUCAGCUACCGAUUCAAGUGUACUUUGCUGGCCGAAUCAAGUUUAGAGAUGAGCUCACAUCUGGCCUGGAUUACAGUCAGUUGCAAGACCGAAUUCCGGACUCCAGUACAAUUAACUUGAACAACUGGCUAGUAGCUCCAUUUGCUGUCCAGCCGUUCAAACUCUGGUGGGCCGAUUGGAAGCAAUUUCUUUUCUGCAACUCAGCAUCGGCAUACUGCAACCUUCUGGACCCAGCCAACAUCGACCCGAACGCCGAGCUACUUCACUUAGCCGAUUUUUAUUCCUCUUAACAUGAUUGAGUACUAAUGAUUUUAUUAUUUCUUCAGGCCGAGAAUCGGACCCCUCCAACACACAGCCGCAGCGGACGGCUAAUAGAGAGUCAUCCAUAUACCACUUAUCCUCUUAUCGGCUAUGACGCCCCGUCUGUUGACGUGAUUGCUGGCCGAUCAAAACAAAUUCAUAAGAGGACCACUAAGAAGACCAGUCGCUGAGUCCGGGCUCGUACGGAAUCGGCGGAUCCUCCUGUGCUCGUAUCGGCAGAAACUUCGGCCGCACCACCUUCUCAGGUCAUUCAAGGUGCCGAUAUUCAAGCCAUCAUGCAAGCUGGGGCGGCUGCCGCAUCGUUGUUGUUGGAAGCCAUACAGGUAAACCUGAGUUUCACUAUCUCCGAUUGUUAUUCUGAUAUUAACCCUUCUUAACUUUAGACCGCACAGAGCACCCCUAUGGAAAUACAACAAUCGGCAGCAACUCAACCAGCCAUCAACGCGCCCCCGCUCCCAUCCGUUGAGGUAUAGUACUUAUCUUACCGAUUUCCUUUGGGUAUUUGCGUAAUGUACUUAUUCAAUCCUCUGACACAGGCCAUCGGCACACCAAGCGCUCCUCGACCACCGAUCUCUUCUCAGGGAGCUGGUCCAAGCACCGCGCCGAUUAUCGUGGAGUCUUCUUCAUCCGAUGAACCCAUGGCGCAGGCUCCUGAGCAAGGCGUGACGGCUUCACAAGUGCAGCAUGAGGAAAUUUGCUUCAAAAUGGUAAGUUUCUAUUUCGGCUUCUAUCCAGCCGAUUUGCUCUUACUCCCCGCCGAUUUAACCUUUCUCUUUAUUUUCUCCAGGAACAAGACACCCCCGACAACAGCCUCUUUUCCUUUGCGGUCGCCCUUUCCGACGACGAAGAAGUUGCUUCUCGCCAAGUCGCCCUGAGCUCCGUUCUUGAUGACGUCCGAGCUAAACUUUCCAGCAUCCGAUCCCUCCUUCAAGGGGACAUCGGCCGACUAGUAGAAGACGCUUCGCCGAUUCGGCAGCUCUUCAAUGACGUCAGCGGACGAGUACCAGAGGAGGCGGAGGAGGCCCUGACGCCGGCGGCCUUCAUCGAGUCCAUGAGGAUCCCAGUCUUCAGGGCCCUUCGUCAUAUGGCCGAUCGCGCCAAGCUGGCAAAGACUCGUGAAGAGGAAGACGCUUUCAAGCGUCAGGCUCAAGAAGCGCAUCGGCGUAUCCAUGUUCUAGAAGAUUCCCGCCCGGCGAUCAUUGGUGAGAUAGACCGCCUCAAGCGUCGAAGGGCGGAGCUUGCCAAGGAGAUGGAGCAAGUGACUAAAGCAAUCAGUGCUGAAGAGAAAAAACUCCAAGAGCUACCCUCUGUUAUUGCCGAUCUGACAUGGGAGAGGCAGCGCUUUGCUCACGAGGCCCUAAAGCUCCAUCGCAGUACAUCAGAAGUCCCUGGAUCGGCAGAUGAAGACCAACGGGUUCUUGACUCUGCCAAUCAGAUCCGGCGUCGGGCCAUCACGGCUAUCGAUACCCUUCUGGGUAAUUUGUAAAACACUGACCGUUUUGUACGCACAUUUACUAUCUUCUUUGACCGUCUCUCGCGACGCCCUUUCUAUUUAUUGCCUUUCUUAUUACCGAUGGGACGUGGCCUUACCAAAUUUCCACGCAUCUUUUUCCAUAAAUACCGACCUCGGCGCUUACUCCCGAUAGCACCAAUUUGGCUUUUGGUUUACUUUUCUUCUUCUUCUCGUCGGUGCGACUCUCUGUCAUGGCUUCGUCGGCUUCUUCUUCUUCUGUUAACCAGGUGAAGUCCUGACCUCUACCUUCCCUUAGAUCCUAGGAAGAGAAUGUCCCUUCUUAUUCCUUCUUUGCUUCAGCCUCAACGUCUUAGCUCCGAGCUCGUGCGCGCCAUUGAGCGCAUUCACUCCGAGGGCCCGUUGUCGUCGGAGGACAAGGCGCUGAUCCUGGCUCACCGAGAAGAACUCCAGGACCACGUUACUGCGGAGGCUCGUGUGGUCUUGGAUUUCGUGGUGAGUGAAAGUAAUCGUCGAUCUCCAACCGUCAGGAGCCAUCAUUGUGACGAUCUUGAAGAUGACGUCGCCACGGCAGCCCGUACGAUCUUGGACUUCGUGGAGAGGAACGGCAGCCGGCGACCUCCCACCGACAGGAGCCGUCUGCUUCCUCGGCCAGUCGUUCUCGCGGCGGAAGGGACUUCGCGCCCUCCCAUGGAUCAGAGUCAUUUUCUCCCUCGUCAAGUUGAAGCGGAGACUUCAAUGAAGGCGAUAGAAGAAGAAUACCUUCGCAUCAUGAGCGAGUUGGAGCGGAACGGGAAGGCGUCCAAGAAGAAGAAUAACUAGUUUUUUUUUAUGUAUUUUUUGUUCUAAGGGCGACUAAUGUUUUGUCGGCCGUGUAACCCAUCGCCCGUACCGAAUGAAUGCAAUCGGCCGAUCCGGUCGACUAUGUAUUUGAACCGAUUUGCAUCGGUUAUGCAUUUGAACCGAUUUGUAUCGGCUAAGUGUGGUCGUGUUAUGGUUAAUUUCCUACGCCCCGACCCAUAUACUGGGGUAGUAUCUUUUUAAGUACCUUCCGUUCAGAGCUCUAGUAAAUUCCUCCCCUUCUAUUGUUUCCAAAAUGUAGGCAUUUCCUGGAGCGCAUCUGCCGAUUUUAUACGGCCCUUCCCAGGUAGGGGACCAUUUUCCGAAUUUAGGAUCUUUCGACCCGAUCGGCAAUACUAACUUCCAUACCAAGUCCCCGGGGAAGAAUUGUUUGACUUUAACCUUCUUAUCGUACCACCUAGCUACUCUCUUUUUAUUUUCUUCAAUGCUUAUCAGAGCCCUCAAGCGUUGGCCAGCCAAAUCGUCAAGUUCCCUUUUCAUAAGCGAUGAGUACUCAUCGGCCGUUAACUGGUCCUGGAGCGAAAUACGCCUUGAUCCCGCUCUCGAUUCCCAUGGCAGUACUGCAUCGUGCCCGUACACAAACUGGUAGGGGGAUAAUUUAGUUGCCCCAUGACAAGCCAUCCUGUACGCCCAUAAGGCUUCUGUCAAACAUAGAUGCCACUUCUUCGGUUGUUCCUCGAUUUUUCUUUUGAUCAAUUUGAUUAUCCCUUUAUUGGAAGACUCUGCCUGGCCAUUGGCUUGGGCGUAAUACGGAGAAGAAUUUAACAAUUUGAUUCCCAUAUCGGUCGUAAAUUCCUCAAAUUCCCCCGAUGUGAACAUUGUUCCUUGAUCGGUUGUUAUAGUUUGAGGGAUACCGAAUCGGUAGACGAUGUGGUCCCUUACGAAGUCGGCCAUGAUAGCCGAUGUCACGGUUUUUAACGGGAUAGCUUCUACCCAUUUGGUAAAGUAAUCAGUAGCCACCAGAAUAAAUUUGUGCCCCUUGCUACACGGUGGGUAAAUUUGGCCGAUAAGGUCUAUUCCCCAUCCUCUGAACGGCCAUGGUUUAAUGAUGGGAUUCAUGGCCGAUGCGGGUGCACGCUGGACAUUUCCAAACUUUUGACACUCCUGACAACCCUUAUAAUAUUUGAAACAGUCUUCAAGGAUCGUCGGCCAAUAGUACCCGUUAUUCCUGAUCAUCCACUUCAUCUUAUGUGCCGAUUGGUGUGCUCCACAUACCCCUUCAUGGAUUUCUCCCAUUAGAGUCUUGGCCUCUUCUGUCCCAAGGCAUUUGAGAAGGACUCCGUCAAUCGUUCGGUAGAAUAGGUCAUCUUCGAGCAGUACGUAUUUGGUGGCAUGAAAACGUACUCGUCGCUCCACCUUUUUAGACGGAUCCUUCAGGUAGUCGGCAAUUUCUUUACGCCAGUCAUCGGCCGUGAGUUCUAGAGCCAUAGUGCCUAGAAUUGGCCGAUACCCAGAUGCAUGCUGGGCGAGUUUGUUGGCAUCUUCGUUGCGGUUUCUUGGGAUGUGCUCGAUUACUGCCGAUCGGAACUCUUUCAAGAGCUGUAAGCAAUCUUCGUAAUAAAUUCUUAAUACGUCAUCUUUGCAUUCAGACCUUCCGGUUAGUUGAUCCACAAUAAGCAUAGAAUCUCCGAAGACUUCAACAGAAUCGGCCUUGACUUCUCUCAAUAGUUGUAAACCUUUUAAUACAGCUCGGUACUCCGCUUGAUUGUUAGUAGCGGCGGUUUCUAUCGGCAGAGAAAAAUCAUAGCUUGCCCCCCGAGGCGAUAUAAGAACGAUGUUGAUUCCUGAUCCGACCCCACAUGAUGACCCGUCGAAAUAUAAUUUCCAAGGUGCCAGCUCUACGAGGGCAAUCUCCGGUCCGCAGUGCUGGGCGACGAAAUCGGCCAUGACUUGACCCUUGACGGCUUUUGCUGAUUCAUACCGCAGGUCAAAUUCUGAUAAAGCUAAGAUCCAUUUGCCGAUUCGUCCUUUCAAUAUCGGCAGUGAUAGCAUGUAUUUUACUAUGUCGUCUUUGCAUACGACUACACAUUCCGCCGACAGUAGAUAGUGCCUGAGUUUGGUGCAUGAGAAGUAAAGACAUAGGCACAAACGCUCCACUGGAGGAUAUCUUGUUUCAGCAUCCAGAAGUCUUCUACUGACGUAAUAAAUUACCCGUUCCUUGCCUUCAAACUCCUGGACUAGAGCCGAUCCAAUAGCUUUUUCAUCGGCUGAUAAGUAUAGUUUAAACGGCUUACCAGUUUGAGGGGGAACCAACACUGGUGGUGAGACCAAGUAUUGCUUGAUAUCUUCCAAUGCUUUGUGCUGCUCUUCUCCCCAUAUAAAUUCCUGGUCCGGUUUUAGCUUUAGAAGUGGCGUGAACGCCUAAAUCCGUCCAGAUAGAUUAGAUAUAAAUCUUCUGAUGAAAUUCACCUUGCCGAUUAGAGACUGCAGUUCGGUUUUGUUCUGUGGGGCCACGACUUUGUUGAUGGCCACUAUGGUCUUCCGAUUGAUCUCUAUGCCUCGUUCGUGUACCAUGAAUCCUAAGAACUGUCCGGCGGAUACGCCGAAAGCACAUUUGUUGGGAUUCAUCUUAAGGCUGUGUUUUUUGGUACACUCUAACACUUUUCGCAAAUCGGCCAGAUGUUCUUCGUGACCUUUAGACUUGACCACGACAUCAUCGAUGUAGAUUUCUACCAGAAGGCCAAUGAGUUUGUGAAAUAUGUAAUUCAUAGCUCUCUGAUAUGUAGCGCCAGCGUUCUUCAAGCCGAAAGUCAUCACCACCCACUCGAACAAACCAAGGUGGCCUGGACAUCUGAAGGCCGUUUUGGGUAUAUCCUCUUCGGCCAUAAGUAUUUGAUUGUAUCCAGCGUUUCCAUCCAUGAAGCUAAUGAUUUUAUGCCCCGCGGCAGCGUCGAUCAGUACAUCGGCCGUUGGCAUGGGGUAACCAUCCAUCGGUGUGGCCUGAUUAAGAUUCCUGAAAUCAACGCAAACGCGCAGCUUCCCAUUUUUCUUGUAUACUGGCACUAUGUUAGAAAUCCACUCGGCAUAACGACAUUGCCGAAUAAAUUUCGCUUCGAUUAGCCGAGUUAUUUCAGCUUUUAUGUCUGGUAGAAUUUUAGGAUUGCAGCGCUGUGCGGGUUGUUGGUACGGCCGAUACCCUAGUUUUAUGGGUAGCCGAUGUUCAACAAUGGAUCGGUCUAAACCGGGCAUUUCAUGAUACUCCCAAGCAAAACAAUCCUUAAAUUCCUUUAAUAAAUUUGUCAAUUUACACUUGUACUCUGGAUCUAAAUUUGCACUAAUAUAAGUCGGCCUUGGUUUGGUACCAUCGCCUAAAUCUAUCAUUUCCAAUGAAUCGGCCGACGUGAAUCCGUGCCCUAGCUUCCCAUCUUCUCGGGCGGACUGAUCCAUCUAUUCUGAAUCUUCGGAGCCGACUGCUCGGAUCGGCUGUAGGCCAAAAUCGGUGACCUUCACGAAAUCGGUCUCCCAUACUCUACCUGAUAUGCACCUCACAGUUUCGCAGCUCCACUGCUGCGUGUCAGCUGACGCAAUGCUGUAUGCGGAGUCAGCUUUGACCACCUCGAUAUUAUCGCCGACCCAUUGUACGAGGCACUGAUGCAUUGUUGACGGGAUGCAGCAAUUUGCGUGUAUCCAGUCUCGACCAAGUAGCAUAUUGUAGGAUCCCUUGCCAUUAAUAAUGAAGAAGGUGGUAGGAAGGGUCUUACUACCGAUGGUGAGGUCGACGCAGAGAGCACCGCGAGCGUUUGACACCUUGCCCUCGAAGUCCUUGAGCAUCAUGUCCGUCUUGGUCAGGUCGUCGUCGCUUUUCCCAAGCUUCCGGAGUACGGUGUACGGCAUGAUGUUGACAGCAGCUCCUCCGUCGACCAUCAAUCUAGUAAGGGGGCGACCGUCAACAUGCCCUUUAAGGAACAAUGCCUUCAUAUGUUGUCGUUCAUCAUCUUCGGGCUUCUCGAACGUAGCCAUCCUUGGCUCCAAAGCCAACUGUGCUGUUUGUUCUUCUAUUGCCGAUACAUCCUGUUGAUCGGCGGGAGUCAUGAAUUCCAUCGGCAAUAUAAAAACCAUGCCGAUCUCGGCUGCCGAUUCGUCACCCGCCGAUUCGUCGUUCCCUUUAUCGUUUCUUUUGGGGCGCCACACCCGAGGCCUUCCUUCCUUCUUGUAUGUCGCGCUGUCUUCUUCUUGCUGUUCCCAUUGGCGGAGACGUUGGAUUCUUCAUUUUUGAGACUUGGUCAAUCCAUCAGGACACCACCUGGGGUUUAUUGGUCUUCCCUCUGACCUGGCGCAUUCCCAUUCCGGUUCACGUCCUAACGGGUUUUCAUCUGUUACCCGAGCAUCAGCCAUCUCUUCGAGUCGGCUGUGAACGCUGGCUCUGUUGUCUGACUGGUCAUGUCGAUCAGUCCUGCCCCCCUACCUAUUACGGCGUCUAUCUUCCGAUCGAUCAUAUCGGUCACUUCUGCCCCCCAGCCGAUCACGCACCUUGAGCGUUCAUGCUGACGUUGGUACUUCUGAAGCAGGAACUGGGAAGUAAUGCGUGGUCCUUCUGACUCACCAUCGUCGUCUUCUAUCCGUCGCUUCCCCUUGACAUCUUCAGGCGUAGCUUGAUUUCUGGGAUUGACGGCGCCACUCUUUUUGGCCGAUUCGGAUGUCAGCACUUUGGUUUGGAGUGAAUUCUUCCUCGUAUCAACCAUGUUGGUAGGAAAGGGGUGUUGGUCAAUCUUCAUUGGCUUGGCCGAUUUCGCCGGCACUUCAAAUGUAAGUCUGCCUUGCUCAAUGGCCGACUGUAUCUGUUGCCUGAAGAUCUUGCACUCGUUGGUAUCAUGGGAUGUAGCAUUGUGCCACUUGCAAUACUUCAUCUUCUUUAAUUGUUCGGCAGAAGGUAUUGUAUGGUACGGCGAGAGUUUAAUCUGCCCUUCCUGGAGGAGAAGGUUGAAGAUUUUAUCGGCCUUAGUUGUGUCAAAACCGAACACUUCUGGAUCCUUUUUGCCGAAUGGGCAUGAUAUCGGCUUCUUCCCCUUGAUCCACUCCGCAAGUCCGACCUCAACAUCUUCCUCAUCCUCUAAUUCUUCCAGGAACGCCACUUUCUUUUGGAAAUUCCUCCGCGGAUCGAAAGGACGUACCUCCUAUCCAGACAAUCGGUGAACAAUCUGGCUCAGACUUUCGAACUCUUGUGAAGCGUAUCUUUCUUUGAUGUGGGGCAGAAGGCCUUGAAAAGCUAUAUCGGCCAACUGCGCAUCGGUUAGAGCCAGAGAGUAGCACUUGUUUCUGAUUUCCCGAAACCUUUGUAUAUACGAGGAUAUCGGCUCAUCACUCCUUUGCCUGAGGCUGGUCAAAUCGGACAGCUUCAUCUCAUGCACCCCGGCAUAGAAGUAUUUGUGGAACUGUCUUUCUAAAUCGGCCCAUGUGAUAAUUGAGUUUGGCGGCAAUGUAGUGAACCAUUGAAAGGCCGAACCAAACAGAGAUGACGAGAACAACCGUACCCGUAGGGCAUCUUGCGUAGCUGCUUCUCCGCAUUGGAUGAUGAAUCUAUUCACAUGCUCUACGGUUGAAGUAUCAUCCAUCCCCGAAAAUUUAGUGAAAUCAGGAACUUUAUACCGAUGGGGGAACGGCAAUAGGUCAUAUGUAGACGGGUAUGGUGUUCUAUAGGUAUAAGUUUGCACCUUCGGCUUCAAGCCGAAUUGUUCUUGCAUCACCUCCGCAAUACGUGCCGACCAGUCUGGCUGUUGCUGGUGAACUGUUGGUUGAGGUACCGGCACAAGCUAAUAAAUCGGAGGCUGAAUGAACGGAGGCUGAUUGAAGGGUGGUAUCUGAGUGUAAGCCGGCUGUGUAGUAAAGGCUGGCUGUUUGAAUGAGCCACUCGUUUCAUCAUACAGCAUGAUCUCUGCUGUCUUGUUGACCUCUGGAGCGACAGGCUGGUAUGGCGGCACGGUUGGUCGGAUAGCAGCCUGGAAGGAUGUCUGGAAUGGAGGAUUCAUUUGACUGGCCGAUUGAUUCUGACCGGCCGUGACUGAAGGUACCCCCUAGGGUGAUGGGUUAAUUGGGCUGACCGGAGGGAAUGGCGCAGAGGACAGUUGGAUGGAGCCAUAUCCUAUAGGAACUGAUGAUGAGGAAGCACCUGAUCCCCCGACAGAAAAUUGGAUUGGCUGAGAAGCCGAAUUUGAAUAAGUCUGAUUUGGUGGAAUCGGCUGAAAAUAUGUCGGUCCCCUGUAUCCUUGAGGUAUGCCCCCGGCGAAGGAAUUGACCACGGCGUUGUGCACCAUGUUUGAAAGCACCGGGGACUGGUCGAUGAAGGCGUGAUGAAUAGAUUGUUGAAUCAUAUCGGACAUUUUAUCCGAAUCCUCAGAAAUUGUGAUCUGGCGGGGAGCAGGGAAUGGAGUCUUUUUUAUGGUCUCCCCGCUUCUGGAGCGACUGAAAGACUUCAGGCAAGCUUUCCGGAACUGCUCCGUAUACUUGUCCAGCUCUUCCUUUUGGUCGUCCUUCAGAUCUACUUCCGUCACUUCGAUGACGUUAUCUUCGGAGACUUCAGCAGCUUUCGACAUGAUGGCGGUUGUAUUUGGUCCCACCGGGCGUGCCAAAUGUGUGUUGGCGCUAGAAAUCGGUCAACCGAAUCCAGCGACCGACACACGACCCGGGAGAAUCUGCUUAGCUCCUGUUCGGGUGAAUGCCCUGGUGCAGUUCGCGCGGCGUGCCAGCCAAUCUGACCUGUUGAUUGGCAAGGAAGAAUACGUGUCAGGUCCAGAAAUCACGAUCGGCUAAGUUUCCGAUCUUAAGAGAGUUUAUCAGCGAAUCGGCCGAUUUAAUGAAGUAAUGAAAUCGGCUAUAAGACAGCCUGAUCUCUGUAGCCUUGUAGACAGGAAAUUGCCAAAGUAAUCGGUGCAAAGCUAUGAUAACAACACUAGGAAAAGAUCUAAUCGGCAAUAGAUGAAUUUAAAAGCAGAAUGUAGGAAAAGCCGAAACUACCGAUUCCUAGCUGGAUAACUGGUGAUAAAGACUAGAAAAACAGGUAAAACCUAUAGAUCUAGCAAAUACCGAUAACUAGUGAAUAAAUCUAAACGAAACAACAGCGAUACGCCCGAAGUUAAAGCUUAGGUAUUACUCGAUAAACGGAACUUACAGAAUCGGUCGGAGAUCAAGAUGAUGCAGUCCUGCCAACCCGCACGAACUCGUGAGAAGAGAAAAGUAAUGGCGAAGUCGCCUGCUCGAAAGUAAGUACGAAGAAAAAGUAGCUUGUUGUAUUGAUUGGUUCAUGAUUACAGAUUUACAAAGGCAGCUAUUUAUAGCCCCGUACAGAUAACUUCUUAACCGACUAGAACUCUAUCCCUAAUUCAAACAGAAAACGAAUAUCUACAAGCACAAUUCGCGCUAGGUUGGUUACUCCACGCUUCGUGGGCUGAUUUCCACCUUAUCCUUCUAUCCCUUUCCAAGCCCAUACAGGCCCAAUUAGCCCAUCCUCCUAAUCGGUCGAUUCCUUAUCGGCAAAAGGUCAUCGAUUGGGACUCUGGUAUAUUCGACCCAAAGCAAGACAGAAGUCACCGGCCGAUCUCACACUGUAGCACCACUUGGCCGAUUCCCAACUGUACUUCUCCAAUUCCCCCUCUUCUUGGUGCCGAUUCUACUAGUGACGAAAUCUGGCGUCAACAGUAGCAUUGUGCCACUUGCAAUAUUUCAUCUUCUUCAGUUGUUCGGCAGAAGGUAUCGUAUGAUAUGGCGAGAGCUUGAUCUGUCCUUCCUGGAGGAGAAGGUCGAAGAUUUUAUCGGCCUUCGACGUGUCCAAGCCGAACAUUUCUGGCUCCUUCUUGCCGAACGGGCAUGAUAUCGGCUUCUUUCCCUUAACCCAUUCCGCAAGACCGACCUCUGCAUCUUCUUCGGCUUCAACCUCUUCUAGGAAUGCAACCUUCUUCUGGAAGUUCCUCCGUGGAUCGAAAGAACGUACCUCCUGUCCAGAUAAUCGGUGGAUGAUUUGGCUUAAGCUCUCAAACUCUUAUGAGGCGUAUUUUUCUUUGAUGUGGGGCAGGAGACCUUGAAAGGCUAUAUCAGCCAGCUGUGCAUCGUUUAGAGCCAAAGAAUAGCAUUUGUUCCUGAUUUCCCGAAACCUCUGUACAUAUGAGGAUAUCGGCUCGUCGCUUCUCUGCUUGAGGCUGGUCAAAUCGGACAGCUUCAUCUCGUGCACCCCGGCGUAGAAGUAUUUGUGAAACUGCCUCUCCAAAUCGGCCCAUGUAAUAAUCGAGUUGGGCGGUAAUGUCGUGAACCACUGGAAGGCCGACCCAGACAAGGACGAUGAGAAUAGCCGCACCCGUAGAGCGUCUUGCGCCGCUGCCUCUCCGCAUUGGAUGAUGAACCUGUUCACGUGUUCCACGGUUGAAGUGUCAUCCAUCCCCGAGAACUUGGUGAAGUCAGGAACUUUAUACCGAUGGGGAAACGGCAGUAGGUCGUACGUAGACGGGUACGGUGUCCUGUAAGUGUAAGUCUGUACCUUCAGCUUCAAGCUGAAUUGUUCCUGAAUCACUUCUGCUAUACGUGCCGACCAGUCCGGCUGUUGCUGGUAAACUGUUGGCUGAGGGACUGGCACGUGCUGGUAUAUCGGAGGCGGGAUGGCUUGAUGCUGAGUGAAAAUAUGUGGCAUCUGAUGUGUUAUAGCCGGCUGUGUAUUCAAGGUCGGCUGUUUGAUGAGCCACUCGUUUCAUCGUAUAGUAUGAGCUCUGCUGCUUUGCUAGUCUCUGGUGCGACAGGCUGGUACGGCGGCAUAGUUGGUUGAGUGGUUGCCUGGAAAGACGCCUAGAAUUGGGGACUUCCCUGACUGGCCGAUUGAUCCUGAACGGCCGUAGCUGAUGGUGCCCCCCAAGGCGUUGGAUUAACUGGAGGGAACGACGCAGAGGACAGCUGAACGGGGUGUGGCUGGAGGUGUUGUGUGCCAUUAUACCCCAUAGGAAUUGAUGAUGAGGAAGCGCCUGAACCCCCAACAGGAAAUUGGAUCGGCUGAGAAGCCGAAUUCGGAUAACCCUUGUUUGGUGGAAUCGGCGAAGCAUAUGCCGGUCCCUUGUACCCUUGAGAUGCCCUGCUAGCCAAGGAGCUGAUGACGGCAUUGUACACCGUAUUUGCAAGCACCGGGGAUUGAUCAAUGAAGGCGUGAUAAACGGACUGCUGGACCAUCUCGGCCAUCUUGUCCGAGUCUUCGGUGAUUGUGAUCUGGCGGGGAGUUGGAAAUGGAGACUUUUUGAUAGUCUCCCCGCUUCUGGUGCGACUGAAGGACUGCAAGCAAGCCUUCCGGUAUUGUGUCGUCUGCUUCUCUAGUUCUUCCUUCUGGUCGUCCCUGAGAUCUACCUCUGUCACUUCGAUGACGUUAUCUUCGGAGACUUCAGCAGCUUUCGACAUGGUGGCGGUUGUAUUGGUCCCACCGAGCGUGCCAAAAGUGUGUUGGUGCUAGAAAUUGGUCAACCGAAUCUCCAGCGUCUGACACACAACCUGGGAGAAUCUGCUUAACUCCUGUUCGGGUGAUUGCCCUGGUGCAGUUCACGCGGCGUGCCAGCCAAUCUGACCUAUUGAUUGGCAAGGAAGAAUACGUGUCAGAUCUAGAAGUCGCGAUCGGCUAAAUUUCCGAUCUCGAGAAAGCUUAUCAGCGAAUCGGCCGAUUUGUCGUAAUAAAGAAAUCGGCUAUGAAGCAGCCGAUUACCAGGCAGCGUGGAUGAGAACUAUUGGAGUAAUCAGUACAACGCUACAGUAGCAACACUAGGAACAGAUCUAAUCGGCUAUGCGUAGAAUAAGUAAAUUAAACAGCAAAACAUGAGAUAAGCCGAAACUGCCGAUCCCUAGCUGGAUAACUGGUGAUAAAACUAGAAAAACAGGUAAAACCUAUGAUUCUAGUAAAUAUCGAUAACUAGUGAAUAAAUCUAAACGAAACGACAGCGAUGCGCCCGAAGUUAAAGCUUAGAAUUUACUCGGUAAACGGAACUUACAAGAUCGGCCGGAGGUCAAGUUGAUGCAGCCCCGCCAACCCGUACGAACUCGUGAAAAAGAAGAAAGUAUUUGGCGAAGUCGCCUGCUUGAAAGUAAGUACGAGGAAAUAGUAGUUUGUUGUAUUGAGUUGUUGAUGAUUACAGAUCUACAAAGGUGGCUAUUUAUAGCCCCGUACAGACGACUCCUUAUCUGACUAGAACUCUAUCCCUAAUUCAAAUAGAAAACGAAUAUUUACAAGUACGAUUUGUACUAGGUAGAUUAUUAUGCACUUAAUGGGCUGAUUCCCUUUUCAUCCUUAUAAUCCUUUCUAAGCCCAUACCGGCCCAACUAUUCCAACCUCCUAAUCAGCCGAUUUCCUUAUCGGCAAAGGGUAACCGAUCGGGAACCAAGCGCAUCCGAUCUCAAACCCCAAGGUUUAAGUAAGGCGGAAUUCUAAAGAUCUAUCGACCGAUCCUGGACUGUAGCAUUGACCGAUCCUGGACUGUAGCACCAACCAACCGAUCUUUAACUGUAGCACCACUUGGCUGAUUUCCAACUGUCACCCUUGCAUCCUGCUGUAUCUUCCCACUUCUUCUUCUCCUGACGCCGAUUUUACUCGUGUCGAAAUCUAGCGUCAACAGAUGCCUCUUUGGAUGAGUUGAUAUGUCUGGCCCACCAUGUCUCUUUUGGCGGUGUUGAGGUGUCCCUGAGUAUCCACGGCGAUCCGAGCCAAGACAGCCAUGGCCCGUUCUUGAAGCUCGAUCAGCCGGUAUAGGGAUGACAUGCAUCUGAUGUUGGUGGAGAUGGUGACCAUCGAGUGGGAUGUGGCCAACACUUCGAUGUUGUUGACGCGGUUGAGCCACGCCGGGUCUAGCCGAUCCCUGGCAGGGAACAGGCCAAUUGGGUCCAGGGUGACCUCCAGCGGGUGCAGCUGACAGAACUGAGUGAGGAGUUGUAGAGCAGCCGACUCCCAUGUAUCUUCCAGGGCGUGCCCGUACGUUGAGAUUCUGAGCUGGGGCCACUCGGGCCGCACAGGAGGUGGAGGUACCACUGCCUGCACGUUGCACCUCUGGACGUCGUGCUCCAGGUACAUCCGUCCCAUGUACAAGGGCGGAGACUAGUACCCGAACCACUUCAAGGUGUCCCACAGAAUAGCGGGAAAACCCUUGAAGUGUAAGCACGUCGAGUGAGAGAUACCAUUGACGCCAUACAGAACGUGUCCGGGGGCGGCCAUCUGGAACCAAGAACCAAGACAACAUGAGAUAGAACUCUAAGAAGAGGGGUCGGACAGAAAAAGCACUCGGAUUUGACCGAACACAAGCUGGAAGAAAACUAGAAGUCCUUAGAACCGAAGAAGAGCCUUUCCGAGCAAGGUUGCUUUUGGGGAGGGUGACUUUACAGAUUUUAGUUUAUGUCGCAUGCAUGGCCUACCUCGUUUCUCAACCAAAACAACUGCCAAACUUGGCCUUACGCAGUUAGUGCCGGUGGCAAGGCAACCAGUACGUCUCUCCCUAUAGUAGCUAGUCGGUUCUAGUAGCGUCUCCUAAGCGAACGCGGUUAGUGUACCUGCAGAAAAACACAACCACAUGAACCUUUCGUGCCAGCACCCACGAAAGCGUCCCCAAACAUUACCGUUCACUAUAGGAACGGCACCCAUGCGUUCAAGGCUGCAUGGACACCACAACAACCGUGACAACCGUGGAAAUAGGUCCCCUUUGAAUGGAACCGUAUAACCCUUCGCAUACUCGUGAUGCAGAAUCAGCGCACGUAUAAAAGACGUGGCGAACAACCGUGAUGAUAGGCUCGUUGGAAUCGAACCAUACCACCCUUCGUAUGAAUUAACAUACGGAACCCGCGCACGUAUGAUAAACGUGGGUGAAGCAACCGUGAUGACAGGGUCCUUUGAAUAGAACUCCCUAUCAACCCUCGCAUACUCGUGAUGCGGACUCGGCACACGUAUGACACACGUGGCGAAGUGCUGGAAGGUUAGCAAGAUAACCAAUAGGUAUUAGCCACAUAAAAACAACCCCAAAAUCCCCUAGGGCCUCUCGUACUAAGGUUAUCCUUAACGAUCGUACAAGAUUUUCAAAAAUUUUCUUUGCAACUUUUAAUUAAAAGAAGUGUUUAGGGCCUAUUGUGUUCUCUGUCUUGCUAAACCAGCUCUGGUACCAGCUGUGGCGGAUCCACCUCGGAUUAGCCUGAUUAAGGUACGGUUAAGUCGCCUAAUAUGCGACACUCAUGCCUUAGUCAAGUUAACACGAAGUGCCGUCGGAUUUCAUCUGAUUUGACCACUUAACAGGACCGAAUUAGCAAACUCACACGAAGGUGAGCGGUUCCAGAGAAUACAGCAAGUCCACCAAAGAUUAACAAGUUUAUACACACUUGGUUGCAAAUCAGAGUUUAACAAGUUCUGAAAGAAAACAACAGAAGGUAAAACGAGCGGAAGCUACUUCGCCGGGGUCGGACGUCCUUGGUGAGGCCAGCCAAGACAUCAGUGAUCCCCUUCCUCACCGUCCGAGGAGGGAUCCCACUCGACCGUCCAACCCGGAGGGAGCUGGGGCGGCCAAGUGCCAACAGGAACAAGCUUGGGAGUGGCGACUUCACCUGAAAAGAAGCCACAAACAAGGCUGAGCUGCUAAGCUCAACAAGACUUAACCGACCGGUGGUAAACUACUUCACCACAACUAGACAUGCAAGGCUCUCUGGCCGAGGGGAUGGUUUGCCAAAAGCGCUACAGUGGGUCCUUGCUUUCAAGUUUUAGCUCAAGUUCUAAGUUCAUUAACCGGUCUAUGUUGGCAACUUACUCUAAACAACCACAGUUUUUCAACAACAAAGUAUAGAACAAGCAUCAGGUUCAUAGCAUCAUCAUGUUCCAUCUUUUUACUCAGUGUAGCAUAGCAAUCAAGCAAUCUCAAACUGAGAGGCAGACGAAUCGAUUCGAGUUUCUUAACCAUGCAUGGCGAACCUAAUCUCACGACAUCCGCGCACCACAAAGGUCGCUUCCUGUGUCAGUCGUCCCCAUCAAUUCCCAGGCACGUGUCAGGUCCAAACUUCCCUUGGCAUGCAAUGCUCCACAGUCCCGGUCUCUACUGUACUAUGACCGCACUUGCACCCACAUGAUGCACCAUGGGAACCUCGUUCCAGGGACAGCAGGGGUAUAAGCCACGCCCUAGUUCAAUCAGGUACUAGGCUUCCCCAUCCCAUACUAGGUAUGAGAUUAGUACCUUCAAACACUUGAUCACGAACACCAACACUUUCCGACCUUAGCAACUUCAUAUAGAUAGAUAGGGCAAUCCACCGACCACCAAAAGGAUUCAACAUGCCCUGCCCCGUCCAUCGUCCUUAUAGUUGUAACCAGAAGAAGAACAACCAACUCCUAUAACUCGCGAGUGACAGGAAAUCACUCGACUUUUACCGAGUCCUAUUAAGCAAUGCCACUACUCGGACUCAUCGGCUAGUGUUCAGAUCAAGGGAAACCAAGUCAUGCAUCUAUGGUUUCACACAACUCCUGCACUUAAAUGCACAUACAACAAGGAAGGCAUGUGUAAGUUUAGAGAAAACAGGUUCAUGCUCCGGGGCUUGCCUUCAAGCGGAGGGGAGGGAAACUGGUCCUCAAAGGGCUCUGCUACAGCUCCUGCGGUCGGCAGCUCAGCUACUGCUCCGUCUUCUUGCACCGGGUGCAGUUCGUAGACGUCGUCGGCGAGAUUCAACUCUACACGAAUGCAAAUGCAAGAGUUAGCACUUAGACGGUUAUUUCAACAGCAACACUUGCAAGCUUUUAGCCCAGAAACUGGUAGCAAAAGCUAUGGAAAAAGUGUGGAGGUUCAAGCUUUAGUGGAUAGAGAACAAGACCAAGGGUCGGACGAACAAAGGGGUCGGACGAGACGGAAAAGGGGUCGGACGAACAGAGGGGUCGGACGAGAUGGAAAAGGGGUCGGGGGUCGGGCGAACAGAGGGGUCGGACAAGACAGAAAAGGGGUUGGACGAACAGAGGGGUCGGACGAGACGAACAGACGGGUCGAAAGAGACGGAAAAGGGGUUGGACGAACAGAGGGGUCGGCAGCUUACCUUCGGUUUAUAGAUGAAGCUUUGGGAUCGGGAAGGAGAGGACUUGGGUAGCGGCGAAGUCCAGCGGUACUCCGGCAGCGGCGGUGCUUCUUGUGGACAGCAAGCAAGCUCUAGCACAGCGCGGAGCAGCAAGCGGCUGGGUGGAUUGGGGAAGGCGGUGUUGAGCGGAGAGGAGAGUUCCUUAAGAACUUAAGCUGUAGCGCUUUGAGCACGAAACCGAGAGCAAGGCAGAAGGGCAGCGAUGGCGAAGGGGAACUCCGGCGGGGCUCCGGCAUUCACUUUUAUAGCCGCGCGAAAGAGAGAAGGUUGGAGCGGCGCAAAGAUCGGGAAGAAAUGAUGGAGUGCGCUGCCGGGGCGGCGAUUGAGCAACGAGGGCAGUGAAGCAGGACUUCGGGGAUGACACCGUCGGUCAUUGGGCACUAGCGAUAGGGCGGCGCAGGCGCGGUUCUGCCGGUGGUUGAGAUUUGGCGGAGGUGGGUGUCGUCGUGCGGUGGAUCUGAUGGAAGUGACCAGGGAAACAGCGCUAGAAGCGAGGUUGCUCAGGUGAGAAGACAGGCGGCUGCGGCUGCGCGGGCGAGCGCGAAGCAACAGACUGUCGAGGCGCUGUUCUGACAAGGCAGGAAAGGGACUGUCAUGGCCGGGGUCUGGAUUGGCGACGGAGGAAUCGUCGCGUAGCGCAGUCCGGGCGGCGCGACUGUGGAGGGGCAGCGGAAAAGGCGGGAGGCAUCGGGCUCCGCAGCCGAGGGUCCGGUGGGGUGAUGAUGGGCGCGGGCGACGAGGCGCUGCAGAAAGGGUUGCAGAGGGCUUCCGCUGCGAUUGGGGAAGGGGGCGCGGAUAUCCAUCCGGUCGCGGCCGGCGACGGGGCAGAGCGGCGGGGGUCGGAAGAGUUGAGCCACGCGACGGGGAAACUCUGAAGCGGGCAUGCUACUCGAGUGCGUCUGCCGCGGGAGAUCUAUGGAAAAGAUUUUUGUGGGUCCACUGGUCCGUCUCGGUUGGUCCACUGUUCAGAUUGAAGGGAGGCGUUGUGGGAAGACUUAGAAGGAUCCGGCGGGGUGAGUUGGGGUCGGCGGGGUCGGGACUGGGGGAAAACGGAGAGGGGUCGGAUCUCAGGGGUCGGAACCGGGGCUGGAGGUGGAGUACUUAAACUCGGGAAAGCUGAGAUGGGGAUUAGGGACUCGGAUUAAGAUUAACUCAUGAGAUUUGGGGUCGGUCGUCACACAUACUCCUGGCAGAUCAUGUUGUUUCCUGGGAGGAAUUCAAAGCUGCUUUCAGAGCCCAUCAUAUUCCAGAAGGACUAUUGGACAGGAAGUUGAAUGAGUUUCUAUCAUUGACUCAGGGCACGCACACUAUACUCCAAUAUGCUCAGACUUUCAAUGACUUAUGUCAGUACGCAGGCUAUCAUGCUGACAUGGAUGAGAAAAGGAGGGACCAUUUCCAUCGAGGUCUCAACACCAAGCUCAAGGACCGACUAAAUCCCGUCGAAACCAAUAGCUAUAAUGAGUUGGUGAACUUAGCAAUCUCGCAAGAGGAUUAAAUUAUGGCUCAUCGUGCAGAAAAAAAGAGGAAGACCCUAAUUGCACCAGCUAGUGCCCCAAACCAGAAGUUUUGGAUAGUAUAGAACACUCUACCCAGAGUUCCCAAAGAGCCCCAUGGCCUGGACGUUGGGUGAUCAGGCCACCGCAGUAGCAGAGAAUUUCACAUUUCCCCAGUUUUCAUCAAUAAGGCCCAAGGCCCAAUGCUCAAGAGCCAGCUCACCCCUGGCAAUGGAAAUUGUUGCUUCAUUUGUGGGAGUCCUAAUCACUUUGCCAGAGAGUGCCCCCAGAACGACCCCAGAAUCAGGGGCAAGGCUCCAGUUAGAACAAGGGCGAGAAGCAGAUAGUCCAAGUCAAACAAGGAAGGAUCAAUUUCACCACUCUCGCCGAUCUUCCCGAGGGUGCACCAGUGAUAACAGGUAUUUUCUCUAUCCAUAACUGGCGUGCGAUUAUAUUAUUCGAUUCUGGUGCAUCACAUAGUUUUAUUGGAAUAAAAUUCAAUGGUAAAUGUGGAUUGGAUUUUUGUCACACAAAAGGGUCUCAUAUGAUUUCAACACCCGGUGGUAAAAUUGCUUCCAACCAAAUAACACAUCGUGUGCCACUCAGGUUGGGUAGUAAAAUUUUCAAAACCGACCUUAUUAUUUUGGGACUUGAAGGCAUAGACAUUAUUUUGGGGAUAAAUUGGUUGACUCAGCACAAAGUCAUGUUAGACAUUGCAGCACGGGCUGUCGAGAUAAAUUCACCCACACAUGGAUCCUCCACACUGUACUUGCCAUUCCGAGAGUGCAAAAAUUCGUGCGCUUUUCUGGCAAUAGGGUCCCGACUAGAAGAAAUUCCCGUGGUAUGCGAGUAUGCCGAUGUUUUUCCGGAUGACUUGCUAGGAAUGCCACCGGAUAGAGACAUUGAGUUUGCCAUUGAACUACAGCCAGGCACUGCACCUAUCGCGAAAAGACCCUAUCGAAUGCCGCCUGUGGAGUUGGCAGAAUUAAAAAUUGAACUUUAAGAGCUACUAGACAAGGAUUUUUAUUCGCCCAAACACAUCACCUUGGGCUUCCCAACUCUCUUUGUAAAGAAAAAGGAUAAUAGCUUGAGAAUGUGUGUAGAUUACCGACCUCUCAAUGCGGUGACUAUCAAGAAUUAAUAUCUGCUACCUUGUAUUGAUGUCUUCUUUGACCAACUAGCUAGAGCCAGAGUGUUCUCCAAAAUUGAUCUCCGCUUUGGAUAUCAUCAAAUUAAGAUCCAGCCAAGUGAUAUCCCUAAGACUGCCUUCUCCACUCGAUAUGGAUUAUAUGAGUACCUAGUCAUGUCUUUCGGGCUCACGAAUGCUCCUGCCUACUUCAUGUAUCUCAUGAAUUCGGUGUUUAUGCUCGAGCUUGACAAGUUUGUUGUGGUCUUCAUUGAUGACAUCCUCAUAUACUCCAAAAAUAAAAAAGAAUAUGCCCAACAUCUCCGUAUUGUUCUCCAACACCUUAGAGAUCAUCACCUUUACGCCAAAUUCUCCAAAUGUGAAUUUUGGUUGGAAAGUGUGAAAUUCUUGGGACACACCAUCUCUAGUGAAGGCAUAGCUGUUGAUCCCAGCAAGGUACAAGAAGUGAUGGAUUGGAAGCCCCCACUUCCAUUCCUCAAAUCAGAAGUUCCUUGGUCUAGCGGGCUACUAUUAUCGAUUCAUUUCCAAACUUCUCAAAAAUUGCUAAGCCAAUGACGGAGUUGUUAAAGAAAGAGGUCAAGUUUGUAUGGAGUGAAAAGUGUGAAGAAGAUUUCCACACUCUACGAAAACUAUUGACUUCACCACCAGUCCUAGCUCGACCCGAUAACAACAAGCCCUCUGAUGUUUACUGUGGCGCCACUAACACUGGUCUCGGUUGUGUUCUUAUGCAAGAUAAUCGAGUCAUUGCUUAUGCUUCACGUGCACUUUGGCCUCAUGAGUAGAAUUACCCAACACAUGACCUCAAGCUAGCAGCUGUCAUCCAUGCUCUAAAGAUCUAGAGACAUUAUCUAAUGGGUGCUCAGAUCACAAAAGUCUCAAGUAUGUCUUUACCCAAGCCGAUCUGAAUAUGCGUCAAAGGAGAUGGUUGGAGUUAAUUAAGGAAUAUGAUCUCGAGGUGCACUACCACCCCGGGAAGGCCAAUGUGGUUCCGGACGCAUUAAGCCGCAAGGCUCAUUGCAAUUGACCUUCCGCAGAAUCCUUUAUAGAAACUUUGUGUCAUGAAAUGAGGAAGCUUAACUUGUAAAUUAUUCCUCAAGGCACAAUGAAUCACAUUUCUAUCGAACCUACCUUGCAUGAUCAAAUUGUUAUGGCACAGUUAGAUGAUAAAGGAAUAAAAAUUAUAAAGCAAAAGCUCUCUCAAGGGGAAGAGAAAUAUAAAUGUUUCUACCAUGAUUGGAAGGGAGUUGUAUGGUUUUAGGACCGCAUGGUUGUUCCAGAGAAUCACGAUCUCUGAAAACAAAUCCUAGACGAGGCACAUCUCUCCAAGUUCUCUAUUCACUCGGGUAGCACCAAAAUGUACCAAGACCUCAAGCAAAAUUUUUGGUGGACUAGGAUGAAAAGAGAGAUUGCUAAAUAUGUGUCAGAAUCCGACACUUGUCAAAGAGUAAAGGCAAGCCACUUAAGAGUAGCCGGUACUCUUCAACCAUUGCCUAUACCGUCAUGGAAAUAGGAGGACAUAAGUAUGGACUUCAUUGUUGGUUUGCCCAAUACCUCUCAGAAGCAUGAUUCCAUAUGGGUUAUAGUUGAUAGACUUACUAAAACGGCACAUUUUAUUCUGGUUCAUACAAACUACUCAACAAAGAGAUAUGCUAAGAUAUAUCUUGAUCUAUUGUUCACCUACAUGGAGUGCCCAAAACAAUCAUCUCAGAUUGGGGUACUCAGUUUGUGGCACGCUUCAGGGAACAGUUGCAAGCUUCUCUUGAUACUAAACUAAUCUGUAGCUUGACUUAUCACCCUCAAACAGAUGGACAAAUGGAAAUGGUGAAUCAAAUCCUUGAAGACAUGCUUUGAGCUUGCGUCAUUCAUUAUGAUAAAAACUAGGAUAAAUGCUUAACUCCAGCUGAAUUUCCUUAUAACAACAGCUACCAAGCUAGUCUGAGGAUGGCACCGUUUGAGGUCUUGUAUGGUCGUAGGUGUCGAACUCCAUUGAGUUGGCCCCAAGCCAGAGAGCAGAAAAUAUUCGGGCCAGAAUUGGUAGUUGAGGCGGAAGAAAAAGUCAGGGUAAUACAAAAAAACCUUAAAGCCACCCAAUCUAGACAAAAGAGCUAUUUUGACAACAGGAGGAAGCCCUUGCAAUUCGAAGUUGGUGACCACGUAUACCUUCGGGUUUCACCAACCAAAGAUAUGCAAAGGUUUGGAGUCAAGGGAAAACUAGCCCCUCGAUGUAUUGGUCCCUAUGAAAUCACUAAAAUUUGUGUACCCGUGGCCUAUCGAGUGAAACUUCCACCUAGACUCUCAACUAUCCACGAUAUCUUCCAUGUCUCUCAACUUAAGAAAUGUGUUCAAGUUCCAACCGAGGUGGUCGAAUAUGAGGAAAUAUGGGUAGAACAAGAUCUUUCUUACGUUGAGUUUCCCAUCAAGAUUCCUGAUUGCAAGGAAAGAAGGACUAGGCGAUAAGUGGUAAAAAUGUUUAAAAUACAAUGGAGCCACCAUACCGAAGAUGAAUCAACGUGGGAAACUGAAGAAUUUCUCAACAAAAAUUUCCGCGGUUUCCUACUCAGACCGAAAGGUACACGCACACCCACACUAGUUGUAAUCACCUGAAUCUCGGGACGAGAUUCUUUUUAGGGGGUAGGCUGUGACAUCCCUAGUAAUUAAGAGCAAAAUAAAGAGAAAUUAAGAAAUAAAUCAAAGCAAAGCCAAAAUGGUUAAGUGUUAAGCACCUUUAUAGUGAUGCACUUGGGGAGCAAAUAAAAACAAAUUCGUAUAAGAACUCAAUUUUUGGCCAAUAUAAAAGUGAUAGACCUUUUCAAAUGGAGCAACUUUUAUAAAUGGAACUUUUCUUGAUUUUAAGUGGGAGGUAUUCAAAAACUGAGUUGAAGUUCGGUCAAAAUUCAAAUCAUUUUCAAAACCAGUUUUAGCUGGCAUUCUACCAAAGUUCUUCCAAGUUUAUCUCCAAAUCCAGUGAGUUUUCCCUAUGUUGGAUUUUACAAAAGUUGUAGCCUAUACUUUGAACUCCAACUUUUAUUUUUGGAAAUUCAAAUGUGCAGUUCAAAAAUUUGGAGAAAACUCGCAUUGAAGUCAGCCCCUCCGCACGCCACACACGCACGUGACGCGCUCUAGGCACGGUCACCGCGUUCGCGGCACACUCCCCGGCGCCACACGGAGCAAGAUGCCUGCCGCCACUUCGCGCCAAGCCAAUGGUCGGUGGCGAGGCGAUAGCACAACGUGCGUAGUCGCAGCGCCCAACCCGCGCGCUCUAUCUCCCUCCCAUGCACUCCAAAUCCUCCCCGGCCAACCUGCUGCUAUGACACUCCCCGGCCUGUUGGCGCAUGCCAUGGCCUUCCGGCCACUCCUGCAUGCCCGGCCACCGUCCCGCCUAGCCAGUGCACUAAGAGCCUCGCCUGGAUGACUCAACCUCCCCUCCCCUUUGCCUGCUAUAAAAAGGGCCCCUACCUAAUCCUUGCCGACUGCCCGUACACCCGCCGCUCCGCCAUUACCUCCGCUGACGAGCCCCUACUCCCGGCCAUCCCCGUCGCCACCCAAGCGCCUUAAAACCUUCCCCUACCACCGCUCCACCUUCCCAGCCACGAACCACCACCCUCGCUGGAGCCCGAGCCGAAGCGGCCACGCCGCCACUGCUCCGCCGUGAGCCGUAACUAGCCCUCCUCUGAACCUGAGCCCUACACCAAACUGGUUGCCGGUGAGUCCCUCAUUGCCCUCAUGCCCCUAGCCCACGAUCUAGAAGCCCCACAUCACCAGAAUUGCGCUCCCCGAGCCGCCAGCCGACCCAGGGACCCAAUUGCAAUCGAAGUUUUGGUUUCACGGUCCUUAGUGCAAAACGCAGGGGCUAGUUCAUAAAAGGAAGGGCAUAUCUGUUGAGAGAAGUUGUUUUGGAGGGUUUUCUUGCAAAACAUGUUUUUCCUUUUCGGAUUUUAUUUUAAUUAAAACGGCUAAAAC